AAGAAUUUGAUCAAGUACUCUUCGCGCUUUGUGAGCAGACAUAGAGAUAGAUUGACUUAAAGCGUAUACUUCUGUUUUUAAUUUUAUAUCUUCUUUUUCUCUUGUAAAUAUAAAUGGGUCUUUAUUUAUGUUCCUUAACAUAUUUUUCAUAAGGUUCACCUCCCACUAAUGAAUAAUGAAGGAUAAGUAUCGUUAUUUUAAUGAUGAGAUCUAUUAUAAUUUUUUGCGUUACUUAUGUCCAGUAUCUAGUCAAAUUGGAUUCUAUUAUUCUAAUAGAAAACUAUUAAUGCAUUCUAUGACAUUGACAUUUAAAUCUGGCAAUAGUGACACAGUCACACCACUCCAAUUUAGAUUGAAAAAAACAAAGAAGAGAAGGGGUAAAGUCAAAUAAUCUUCUUCACAAUAUACAUACUAUGUAUAGAAAUACGGUACAAUUAUUGCAACAAAAGAUUCCCUUUUUAUGUGGAAAAGGCCCAUAUCAAUAAUUCUGAUUUUAUGUAUGGACAAUUCCUCAAUAUUUUGUUCAUUCGCAAGAAAAUAUUUUCUUUGUGCGGCAGUAAAAAAAAACAUGCUUUUUUGGGGAGAGAUACUAUUUCACCAAUCGAGUCACAAGCAUCUAACAUAUUCAUACCUAACAAUUUUCCACAAAGUGGUGACGAAACAUAUAACUUGUACAAAUCUUUCCAUUUUCCAAUUCGAUCCAAUCCAUUCGUUCGUAGAGCUAUUGACUCGAUCGCAGACAUUUCUGGGUUCAAGUAUAUCUUGUCUUUACUAAGAAUUAUUUUCCUUGGUUAACACUAAUUGUAGUUUUGCUGAUAUCCGCAGGUUCCUUAAUUUUUUUUCUCCCUCAUAAAGGAAAUAAGGUAAUUAGAUGGUAUACUAUAUUUAUAUGUAUGUUAGAACUACUUCUAACAACCUAUGUAUUUUGUUAUCGUUUCCAAUUAGAUGAUCCAUUAAUCCAACUGGUGGAGGAUUAUAAAUGGAUAUUCUUAGUUUAUCCAUUUGCACUUGUAAUGCAUGAUUUAUAAUAUGGUUCAAGGUGAAGUUAUUGGUAGAAAAAUAAAGACUAAAGAGUUUUGAUGAUGGGCUUUUAGUAAGAAAGAAAGUAAGCCAUGAUAAUCGUGAAUUGUCAAAGUACGAGGCUAAAUUUGAGUAGCCUAAGAGGAGAGAGGGGUUGGAGAAAGUUGAAGGAUCAAGGUUCUAAGAGGAAAGUUUACAUAUUCUUAGAGAACCACGUGAUGGGCUCAAGAGCACUUUCAAAAUAGAAAAAGUCAGUCCCUUCAAAGCAAAGCCUUUGAGUUCUCUGUAUGAAGCUUAAAGGGAACAAGCCAUUUUUGAGACGAAAGUGCCAACUGAUAGGAGGCUUGUAAAGCCCAAGGCUUAGGAUUUCCUUGACUCAAGAUGCGGAAAUGAUGACAUGUGCCUUUUGGAUAUGCUUAAUCUCCCUCUUUCUCGAUCAAUUUGAAAUGAGUCCAAUAUAUGCUCUGUAUAUCUUGUCUAGACAUACUUCCAACACUAUUCAUCAAGCCAAAUCCUUGAAUAAAUCAUAAAUAUAUAUUGAUGGGAUGGAUACACUAAACACAUGUAGGAGUGAUGCAAUGCUAAAGUGAUAACCACAUUAUUGCCGAGUAGAAACUAAGUUGACCUAGCUAUUCAAUUAUAUUUAUAUGCAUGAUAAGUUCUGUUUUAUUUAAAGUAUCAGGAACUCAAUUUUGACCAAAUAUAAAGCAUCGAAUAUGUGGCCAAACAAAUCAUCUUGGUAAUGUACUACGUAUGCUCUCUUUAACAUUUUAUCUUCAAUUGAAGUUAAUGACUAUGUAGUCCACAGUAGUUGAUGGCUACUUUAUCCAAGGUUGAUGUUGAGCUAAAUUUAUUAAGGCUAUUUUGGACACACCAUGUAAUAUGUUUCUAUCAUGGAUUUGCUCAUUUUCUUACAGAAAACCCAUAUGAUGACAAAAUUUGUUUUUGAUAAUUAAUGUUUCUUUAUGAAAACAUUGGUGGCUUGCUCCAAUCACGAAUAGGUUAUGGCACAUUUGAUGUGGGCGUGAAUGCACUUGCAAGAAUGCAACUUGUCCAUAUGAGUUUUCUACAUAUAGAUAUGAUAAACAUACUGAAGUCUGUCUGCAUUAAUAGCUGCAUUCAAGACUCUAUGCUAUCCUAUUUUUUCCUUUUUCCAAUUUUAUGGCCAAAUGAUGUGGAAAGUAUGGUGGAGUAGUGGCUUCUGUUAGUGAUUCUUAUCAUUGUGAUGAAACAAAAGAACUAAAAUAGUCCUACAAGAGCCUUUAAUAUAUGGCAAAGGAAAUUCUUCAUGGAUAACUUACAUAUGAAAGUUUGAACAAAUUGAAAUGUUCUAAUAAACAAUCAAUGGCAAGACCUAAAUAUAUAGCAUCUUUUAUGUGAAAAUCUCAUCUUAGUCCCUAUGCUCUCUUGACCUUUUAUCUUUAGUCGAAGUCAAUUGAUUAUGUACUCCAUACUCAAAGGUUACUUUGAACCUUCAUCCAAGUUUUAUUUUGAACCAAGUUUCAUAAUAAAGGUCAUUUUAAACACAACACUUGAUAAGUUUCUAGCUACUGAUCUACUCCUUAACUUUAAGAACUUAAGUCUAGGACAUCUUGGGUUCCACUUUGAAGUAACGUGGCUGCUGUAUUUGCAUUGCAUCAUACUCUUAGAGUGGAAGAAUACAUUUUUAUGAAUUUGUAUCAAAUCCUCGUAAUAUUAUGAUAAAUCUUAAAUGUUAAAAGGUAGAAUCAUCCGGAAGUGAAUAGGCUAAUUCAGUAAUAUUCUACCUAUCUAUUUAAAGUGUUAGUAGUCACAAAGGAGUUGGUAUGUAAAAUCGAGUGGAAGAGACCCACCUCAUGUAGGAGAUAAUUUCUAUUCCUUAACAUAAUCGAGUGGGGGUUAAAUAAGAAUCACAUAAUUUUGUUUUAUGCUUAUUAACAUAUGUGCACAUUUAUAUUAUAGGAGUGGUGUGCCGCAUGUUGAAUGCAGAACAAACACGACCAUCGUGAGCACACUACUUUGACCCAUCAUUCUCAAUGAGGCCUGAAUUAGACUUCUUUAAUGCGUUUCUCAAUUAUUUUUAAUUGGACACUAUGUGGUGAGCCGUAAAAACACUUGUAUAGGUGGUGCUGGGCAGCCUUACAAACAAGGCUAAAAAACAUGAAAUAAGAGACAGAUGUCGGAUGUUUCUUGAUGCUGAAAUUGUGGGACACGAUUUCUCAACUUGUGAGUUGGUACUAAAAACUUGUUAAAAUGGAAUCAUAGCCAAUUAUCGUUUUUAUUUAUUAAAAAUAUGAUUUUUCCCUACUGACCUAUUAAUGGAAAUGUCCUCAAUCCUUAUGCGAUUUUUCUUUCCAGUGUGUGAUAGCAACCAUUGGCACAUCCACGUUAUAAAUAUUCCAGUAGCGCGAGUUGAAAUAUUAUUUUCUUUGCCUUUACGAAAGGGUAACAACAUAAGUGUCGUAAUGAGAAGAUUGUUUGAGGCAAUUGAUAAAGCCUUCCAUGCUCAUGGCAUGCAUAGGCAAUUGGAGGCGUUUAAAUUCGUGCAUGUGCAACCCCAGAUUGUGCGGCAAUGAAAUGGAUAGAUUACUUUCGUUGUGAUCAUUUUCGUAUAAUGAACUAUGUGAUAGUAAUGUAGUUGCAUUUUCCGCUUGUUGUAUGUAUAUGAUUGGUGAAAUGCAAUUGGUGGUGUAGAUAUGAUUGUGGGAUGUUCGCUAUCAAGUACAUGCAAUAUUGGUACGGGGCCACACUAGCACAUUCAAUUGCGGAGGUAAGCACAACCAAUACAUUAUUGUUUGGUUUUGCGGAAGUUAUUCCAUACCAGGCUAUGAUUUUUUUGUGCGUUGUAUAGGACAAGAUGCAUCUAUACAGAUUGAGGCUUGUCGUGAACUUGCUUACCAAUGAGGCAAACAAUGCUAGAGAGAAGGUCAUAUAGGCAUGUCCAAUGUGAGGUAUGAGGGUUUUGCCUUUUUUGUUAGUUUCAAUUUAUAAUAAACUCAAGCUUGCCUAUAGCAAACCAAAAUCUUCCUUUCCACAUCACCCAUGUGAUCAUACAUCCAUUUGAAAGUGAACCUGCAAAUAUGAAGGUUGCAUAAAGUUGCAAAAAGGUACUGCAUUUCUACCAAUCAAUAUUAAGCUUUUGGCAUAUGUUUCCAAUGAUUAGCACUUGUUGAAACAAAAAAAAAAAAUGAUAUUCCAUGCAUGAGAUGCUUAGAGAAAUUGUAAAUAUAUUGAGAUGUUGCCUUGAUAUUUUAGUUAAGAACUAAAUAAUUAAAAAGAUUUUUAUUUUUUUAUUUUAUUUUAUUUUAUUUUUUUACUUAAGUCCCUUGAUUCGUUUAUGUUAGAAUUUCCAACCGAGGUGAUUUGGGAAUUUCCAGCUCCCAUGACAGUGGGAUUUUUUGCUUAGGAAGCGGCUAAGGGUAAGAUUUUGACUAAGGACCAACUGAUGAAAAGAGGUGUCAUUUAGCAAAUUUUUGUUAUUUGUGUGAAAAAAAAGGAAGAGCCAGCCAAUUACAUUUUGAUCCACUGUAGCCUAGUCAUAAUCUCUAGCAUUUUGAGCUCUCUUAGUUUGGACUUUCUUGGAUUAUUCCUAGGUCAUCCAAAAAGGUCUUAUUAGGGUUGCAUGGUAGACUUGUUGGGAAAAAUCACAGAAAAGUUUCGACAGUAGCUCUCCUUUGCUUAUUUUCAACAACAUGAAAAGAAAAAUUAGGGGAUUUACAAAGUUUUGGAAUUGUCGGUUCAAACUUUAGAGGAGUUUUUAAUUCAUUCUUUCUUCUAGUGGUCUAAGUAUUUCGAUUUGCAUCUUUUGUUUUUGUUGAGUUUCAUAGAUGGUUUAAACCCUUACUAAGAUUCUAGUGCUAGCUUAUUGAGUCCUAAUGGGCAUUCAUUGUAUACCUCCUGUGUAUAUGGGUGGCACUCCAUUUCUUAGGUGUCUUUUAUAAUAAACUCUUUCUUAUUGAGGAAAACAAACAAACAAACAAAUUAAGAGCAAUUCUACUGAAGGAAUCCAAUAAAAAUAUGGCAAAGUAAUUUGUAAUAGAUUAGGAUAUUGGGACAGUGUCUAAAGAGGAAACUUGUUACCAAAUCAAUAAAGAGAAUGAAAAACAGUAGGAACUUUUAACACUUAACUCAUUAUCAAAGACUAAACGAUUAAUGUCAAUGUUUAACAAAUUAAGCAACUGUGCUAUAAAAGAAUAAGAUAGAAAAGAGGAAUGACCACCUAAAUAAUAUGGUGUCCUAAUGUGGGGUCCUGAUUGCACUGAGACCUUCUUAAAGAAGUUAAAUUUAAAGGUUCUAUUAUUUAACUCAGUCCCUUGUAUCUUAACUUCAUACAUAUAAAACUAGAAAAGUUUUUCUCUACUUAAGUGUGAGAAAUGACUAGUUUGAAGGGUUGAAAUGUUGAUAUUCAGAAUGUUGUCUUUUGUGGCUAGUACAGUUGAUUGUCAUAUCACAUGAAGGCCCUGAUGCAAGGGAGAAACAAGAAGAUCUUGGUAAAAUGGAUGAAGGGUAUUCCAUAGAUCAUGAAGUAGAAUCAUGGAAACUUGUCACUCUAUUUAGUGCUCUAGACUUUCUGCAGUCUCAAGUCACUUCUGUUAGCUUCUUUGUUCCAACAAUCACUCAUAUUUUGAAAUCAAUGGUUUCACAAUUUACAACAUUGAAUUUUUUCUUUAAUAGCUUCCACUUAAACACAUCUUGUAUAGAUUUUAUGUGUAAAGGUAGAAUGUAACAUCACAUGGCCUAAUACUCCUUAUGUGUCAACAUGGCCAUGUUUUACAUGUACAUAUCAUCAACAAGACAAGUAGUAUGCUUAAAACCUUAGGACAUAGUCAUGCUUAGAUAUCAUUUGAGAUUUCACAUGGAAAGUGAGAACUAUUGCUUCCAUUGCUCUAACUUAUGCUUAAGACAAUAAUUUUUUAGGAGAAGAUUAUAAUGUAAUUCUUGAAAGAAUGUGAGUUAUUGAAAUUAUAUAUACACACAUGGACGUAUAGAUAACAACUAUUUGAAUGCUAGUUUGAAUGACAUAGGACAUUGGAAAUAUGACGCAUAUAGAAGAUUAGGACCAUACCUUUUGACAUAAUUAGUUUGGACUUCUUGGAAAACUUCGAUCUAUAACCAUCCAAUCUUUUGAGCAUAUCAAAAUUUUCUUAUUGGAUUUUAUAUGGAGGCAUUGCAUUUCCCCUUAUAAAUGUUAUGCUUGAUUAACAACCUUCAGAAUCAAUAUAUCUUGAAUAAGUUCAGAAAAAGCCCAUCUUCUUCUUUAUCUCUUCUUAUUCUUCUUCUUCUUAACUUUCUUCCUAUGGUUAUCUUUUAGUUCAAGGCUGGUGGAACAAGUAGUAGAGUGUAAAUGGCAAUAGGCUUUAUCUAGUCUAAACUAUAUAAAAAACAAGGUUUUAUGACAUCCAUCUUGCAGAUUUUUUUAGUGUCAUCUUUCUUUCUAUGUAAACUAUUUGCAUGUUCCAUUUUCAUAAAAAUAAGUAAGAUAACGAACACUAAUUUUGAUCUAUUGGUAUAGCGCAAAAAAAUAUGGAUCAAUACCUCCAACCACACCCUUCCCACCAACAUGAAGCUCCUUCACCAACAUAUUUCAUCAUUUUUUAUUUAUGAAUUAUGAUUGUUUAUUUUUUUUUAAAUUAAAUAAAAAUAAAUAAAUAAAAUAAAGAAAGAAAAAGAAAAAUAAUUUGUUAGCAUUGGUUGCUCGAAAAAUUGUAAUCCAUCAUAAUUGUUGAUUUCUCUACCAUGUAGAGCUUAAGGGAAAGACUUAAUAAUAAAGGGGCAUACAUUGUUCUAGGGCCUCCUACUUUUGUUGAUCCAAUUUUCCACAGCUUCAAAGUUGUAACUCUAGGAGCCAAGUUAUGGAAUACGAAAUCCAUUUACUGUUGUUUCUCUUUUAACUAGUCUAAAUGAGAAAGAGAAAGGAAAAGAAAAUAGUAAUUUUGAAAAAUAAAAUAAAAAUAGACAUUUACGAAACUUUUCCUUUGUUUGUUUGGAAAAAUAAAAAGGUUCCUAGUUGUAACACAUCAAAAAUGUUAGACCCAUUUUUUUGCAACAGAUUGGAAAAAAUGAAGAUGGUCAAGCAAAUGAGAGGGAGAAACAUAGAAAAUUUGAAGUGUGUCGAAAGAGAGAACAGGAAAUAGAGAAGAGUGUUAAAUGACCUUGUUAUCGCAACUGAGCAUUAUCACUGCAGUGGCUGGAUCAUCGAGUCUACCAUGGACUUGGGUUAGGAUUCUGAUUGUAGAGGAGCUGAUUGAUGGUGUGUUUUGGUUGUUGCCUAUCUGGUACAAUGCUUUGUAUUUUUCUGUUAGUGUUGAAGAGUAUUUAUGUAAAGUAUGUAAAAGAAUAUAUUUAUUUAUUUAUUUAUGAUUGUUAUAGUUAUAUUUGUUUGAAAUUGUUUUGUAGUAACGAUCAAUUAAUCAUUAUCAAAGAGAAGGAUAAAGGAGUGAAGAUAAAUGAUGAUGUAAGAAGUAAUACUAUUGUGGCUAAUAUAAUUAAAUUUUAAAAUUUGAAUUUGAAGUAAGUGAAAAAUUAAUGCAGUUGAGGAAAAAAUUGAGCAAGAAGUGGAAUGCACUUUCAAAAGUAGAAAAAGAAGAUUUCAUGACAAAGUCAAAAGAAAGUUCAAAACAAUAUUUGCUUCAAAAGGGUGUGGGUCCAAAGGUAAAUUUUUUUGUAAUGAAUAAAAAAUUUGAUUACUUAUGUAUUUGUUGCAAGUUAUAUUAAUGCAAACAUGUUUGAUGUUUGUGUAUCUUUUCAGUUAUAUUUUCAGACUUGAUGCUCACCCGGGCGAGUGAUUAGAGUUAUUGAAGAAUUAGAACCAAAGCAAAAAGUAGCCAUAGAAGAAAGAAGAUUUGGUAACCUCUUACAACUUUGAUGUAGGAAAAUUGAUCAUGGGUUAUGUCUUUGGUUGAUAAAUAGUUUCAAUCAAAACAUUCAUAUGUUAGAGUUGUAUAAUACCUGUAUCAAAUUAUUUUCGAUUGAUGUUGAAUUUAUUAUGGGAUUGAGGACAAGAGGGUUGAAGAUUGACGUGAACAAAGAUGUUAGCAAUAAGAAUUAUUUAUGUAAAAAAUAUUGUGAUAAAAAGGGGCAAUUACCAUUAGUGGUGUUAGAAAAUCAAAUUAAGGAGGUAAAGAAGGUGGAAACGAUUUCAAAGUUUGUUUUGUAUUAUUUGUGUUGGGUGCAUUAUUGUACUUAAUAAUGAAGCAUUUUGUGAAACGUUCUUUCUUACAUCUUAUGGAAAACAUCGAUUCAAUAAAGAAAAUGAAUUGGGCUGAAUUUGUGUUUUCUUAUCUUAUGCAUGGGAUUGAAGAGUUUAAGAGGAAACAACAAAGUGGGGUUUCUGGUUACUUAUUCUUUGUUAUGGUAAUGUCCUUAUACAUAAUUUACAUCAUAGUGAAUUUUGAAUUUGUUAUAAUAAAUUUUGUGAACUAAAUACAUAUCUAUGUAAAAUAUAAUUGCAGUUAUUCUACCACGAGCAUAUAUCUUUCCAACAGAAAUUUCCACCGCUAUAUACUCGACCUUUUCCUCGGAUUAUUAUUCCUUGGGGAGAUGAUGAAGUACUGGAUAUGAAACAAAGAUUGAAAAAAAUCGGUGGAUAUGCAAAUGACAAUGUAAGUUAUAGUUUUGAAAGUCAUUUAAUAUUUGUUUUUGUUUUUUAGCGAUUUUAAAUAGGAUAUGUGUGAUAUAUUGAUGAAUAUAUUGUAGGUGAAAAUAUGAGUGAUACAAAAUGAGAUAAGGGAUUGGGUUGAUGAAAAUGAGAUGACAAUGGAGGGGGAGAAUGAGGAGGAUGAGAAAUUUGAAAUCCAUCCAAACAAAGAUGUUAUUAAACGAGUAAGUUUUACAAUAUUCAUCAUGAGUAUAAAUAUUAGUAGUGAACCCUUGUAUUAUGAUGUUAUUAAUCAAGUUCCUAUAUAUCACUAGGUUGAUGGUGGGAGCUUAAUGGAAAUGGAUAAAACAUUUCAACAAUUAAAGACAUGUAAUUUAUUUGUGUCAUGUUGCAAGUAGUAGUAGUUGUGAAAAAGUUUUUACUAAAUUUGAGGAGAAAUAUACAACAUUGAAAGGACUCUUCCUUGGGUCAAGAGAAAAACCUUUGAGAGAGCUCGAGGAGAGAACGAAGAGUGACAUUCUUUCAUCUGAGAGAAGUUUGGAAGAGAAGGAUGAUAAAAAAGGAAAUGAACAUUAUGUUGACACUUUGUCAAUUGACAAGUUACGCACUAAGGAUGUGAAUGGAAAGAAUGAAGAUGCAUGUGCUACAUCAAUUGAAGUGCAUAUCAUUCCCGAUGAAAAUGUAGAUAUUUUACCACUUUCAAUCAAAAGAACUAGAAAAGAUUAUGGAAAGGUAUAUAUAGUAUAAAAAAAAUUAUUUUCGUUACAAUUACUUAACCAUUACAUAGUAAAUAUAUGUAUAUUAAUGACAUUUUCCAUAUUAAGAACCAUUACGAGCACUAUGUGGUAUUCCCUGCCAACCCUUUGAGCUACGUUAUCAUUGAUUUCUUCAAAAAAAGGAAGAUUUUAGCCGGUGAAACCCAUAACUGAAGACCCUUAUUGAAUGUAGGGUUUCUUCUGAAAAGAGACGAAGUCGGUCAACAUAUCUGAAAAGUCUAAAUGGAGAGGACUUUGAGUUGAGUUGAUGGGGCAGCGGACCAAUUUAUUGGGACAUAUUUUCUUUCUAUCACGCUACCCUUUGAGCUGUCUCCACUUCUGAAAAGAGACAAGUCGGUCAACAUCUCUGAAAAGCCUGAAUGGAGAGGACUUUGAGUUGAGUUGAUGGGGGCAGCGGACCAGUUUAUUGGGAUUUUAACAUAUAUUUUCUCUCCAUCACGCUGCCUUUUGAGCUAUCUCUUGCAACUUUUCUUUUGUACUAGACUCUCGCAACAAAUAAAAUUAUAAAAUAAAAAUUUAAAUUUAUAAAAUCUAAUUAUUUAAAAUUAAUUAAUAUUUUACAUAUUUUUUUUUAUUAAAAUUACUAUUUUUACGGUUUAAAUAACGUCUUAACAAUAUAAAUACUAUUUUUUUACCUUUUUAAAUACUAUUUUUAAUUGAUAAGUACAUAAAAUUUAAAUUAAUUUGAAAGAAUUUUUAUUUUAUAAUUAUUUUUAUAUAAAUACAUCCAAACUCAUUUUUUUCUAACGAAUAUAAAUAUGUACGUAUAUAUAUUAUAACUGAUUCAUUAAAAUAUUUUAGACAUUUUUAAAAUUUUAUCCAAUUCCUUUUUAUAAAAUACCAUUUUUUAACGUUGAAGUCAUUUUCAAAACUACCCUCAAAUGUUUUUUCAUAUGUAAAACCAAUUCAAUCUUAUUUUAUGUAUUAAUUUUAUUUUAUGAGUUCAAAUAAUAAUAGCAUAAUAUAUAUUAAGCUACUAUACUAAAAUAUUUUAAUUAAUAUUAAUAUUUUAACAUUUUGGAUUGGAAAUACUCUGAUGAAAGAUAUUUUGCUGCCCAUGCAUUUAAUCUAAAUAUAUUAAUGUACCAUCACUUUAAUUAGGAUAUAAUUAAUCAAUUAAAAAAAUAGCAUUUAAUCAUAUAGAAAUAUAUGAUUUAUGUGAAAAACCACCAAUAAAGCAUACUAGUGACCUUACAUAUAUAAAAGUCAUAAGAUUCAUAGAUUGUCAAAUUAAAUCCACUAAAUAUGAAGAAUAAUUACAUAGAUUUAGCUAGUAAUUAUUACUCUCCCUCAAACUUAUAUUGUUAGUCACCAAUUCUCAAUUACAUAACAUAGUUACUUCCAUGUUGCUUAGUGGAUUGCUCAUGACCUUAAGGAAAUACUAUUGAAUGAUAACAUAAGGUGUGCAAUAAAAUGAGAUUGAGAAUCCUAUAAUUUGAGAGAAGGAUACUACAGUAAAAAAAAAUGGUACCCAAAUACUAUUGAAUGAUAACAUAGCUCUUGUUGCUCCUUUAUUUUUAUUUAUUUAUUUAUUUAUUUAUUUAUUUAUUAUUAUUAUUAUUAUUAUUAUUUUGUAAUUAUCUCUUUUGCUGUUUUGAUAUCAACAUUAGAAAUACAAAAGUCCAAAUUUUUUUUUAGUGCCUGCAUAUUGAAGGUUCAUGCUAUAAGAGUUGGAAAAACUUGAAUAGAAACUCCCUUGAAUGAUGUAUCAAAGCUCAAUGUAUCAAUGUUAACAUAAACAUUCGAGUAGAGUAGGAUAACAUUUCUAUGUCAUAUGAAGAAAUAUACUAAAAGGGAACCAUGAAUACGAUUGGAGAAAUAUAUAUUAUAAUUUAGAGGAUUAUUAUGGUCUAUUGAUCAUAUUCAAAUGGAAGUAAUAUGGUAAUCAAUAUUUCCAUGUCAUUUGAAAAAACAUAAUAAGAGGGAACUGUAGGGAAUCCCCCAGACGUCCACGUGGCACACCAGCCCUAUCCGGACAUCCACGUGGUGCACUAGCUCUAUCCGGGUUUCCCCCUUGUAGGGAACCCCCCAGACGUCCACAUGGCAACCCCAUGUGACACGUGGCGCGCCAGCUCUAUCCGAGUCCCCCAGGGGGGCACACGACACUCUCAAAUAUUCUACCCGAACGACGCUCUACUUUAUCCGGAUAUAUUGUCCGGAUCAUUAGCCGUAAAACGCAAGCCAUGCUGAGUCACCUCAGACAACCUGUCACAGCCCGCAUUCCGCUGCCUACAGAGCGAAAGGACAGGAGUGAUGGCAAGUCACCUCCCACGAUUUCUGACAGCCGCCUGCAGGGUGAUGAUGAUUCUGCCAUCACCUCAAGGACAUCAUGACAAGCCAAAAAGUCUUCCCACCAUUAAAGAGGGGAGCAGAACUUCUGACACUAUAAAAAAGGGCCUUCACGCAAAGAGGAAGGUAAGCUAUUUGACUCAGAAAAAGGGCAACAGAUUGAUCCUUUGGGCCAUGGCUAACAAAACCAUCGGAGGGUGUGUCCGGACACCCUGUCCGGACAACUUUUGCAGGAUUGACUGAGCCAGAAAUCAUCCUUGGUUGAAAGCGCGCGUCCCCUUGGCAUCUACGUGGAUCCCUGGGACACGAGGCAUCAGCAGGAACCAUGCAUGAAUAUGAUUUGAGAAAUAUAUAUUAUAAUUUAGAGGAUUACUACCUUAUAUUGGUUAUAUUCAAAUGAAAGUAAUAUGGUAAUAAUAUUUAAUCGAUAAGAAAAUAGGUUAUGAACAAGUCAUAUUAUAACUACCUCAAAAAUCAAUAAUACAAGGAUGAAAGAGGUAUAGUGAGGAAGGGUCACACCUAAAGGAUCACUUUAUUAGCACAAGUAGGAAAAUGUUAACAUAGGGUUAUGCAUUUAAGUGUAACAUGAUUGAAUUCUAUUACAAUGUCUAAAAUUUAAAUAAUUGCAUACCUCUUUUCUGAUUUUGCUCAUGCCAUUAAGAUUUUUUAUCCACAAGAAACAACCUAUAUUUAAAAAAAUGAAAAAAAAAAUCUUAUUUUAAAAUAGUAAGAAAUUUAUUGUUCUUAUAAAUAAAAAAGAAUAUAAUUGUUUAAUACUUAAAAAAAAAAUCCAAAGUUGAAAAUCUAAGAGCCUAUUUGGUCUCGUGUAAUUUAAAAAUAGUUUUAUGUUUUUAAAAAUAGAAAACUGUUUUUAAAAUUUUUUAACAUUGUUUGGUUGUCGUUCUCUAAAAACAAUUUUUAAAAAUAAACUGAAAUAGAGAAUAAUUUUUAGAGAACAAGUAUAAGUUGUUGUUACUAAUUUUUAUAAAUAAAAGAAAAAUAUGGAUCCGUUUGGCCAUGUUUAUUUAAACUUGUUUUUAAAAACUAUUUUUAUUCUUUAAUUUAAAAAUAUAUUUUUUUAAAAAAAUUAAGAAAAUAUGGCCAAACAAACCUUAAAUAUUUAUAGUAAUUUUCUAAUUUUUCAUCUCAUAAGUAGUCAAACUCUAAUAUCUCACUAUUAACAUAUUACAAAUGCAUUAUCAACUUUUUAAGUGACACAACAUUUUGCAUAUUAAAGGGAAUGUAGAAUUAUAAAAUUAUUAUUAUAGGACAAAUGCCUUUUUAAACAUAUGAACAACCUAAUUUUGAAAAAGAGAAAAAAAAAUUAUAAAGAGCACAAUUUUUAUUUUAUUUUUUUAUUUUUAUAGUGCUCAUAAAUAAGUUAAAACAACAAAUAAAAAAUAUUAAUUUACUAAAAAAUCUAAGUUUUUGAAACGUAGUAAAAAUCCACUAUGUAUGUCACACCCCAAGACCCACUCCAAGGGCAUCACAGUCAUUUCACACCUCAAACCUGAAGGCUUAAAGUAUAACUUGACUCAAACAAUCAUAUUAUAACUAGAAGUAACCAAUUACCAAAAACCUGUUCAGAGUAGCAGAACAAAUUCUAAAAUCUUCAAACUUAACUUUAAAACUAAGCAUCCAUCAACCAAAAUCCAUUAUCCAAAUAGAUUGCAAACUCAAAUAAAUCAAGUGCUAACCAAAUUUUCAUAAUCUCCAAAUCUCAACUUCAAACUUAUCAAAAAAAAUAUUUAAAAGUGCAAUAUCUAAAUAGCUUCCAAAAACCAUACAAUCCAAAUGAACAUAAACUUAUAAGCUAACAAUGUCCAAAUAAUAUCCUAAGCAAAAUCCUAAUAAUGACCAUUCCCCGACCUAGCCAUCACUCCUCGCCCGAACUAAGGGUGCCUGAAAGUAAUCAACAAAUAGGAAUGAGCUCCAAGCCCAAUAAGGAACAUUAAUGUAGUCCAUGGAUCAAAUAUUUCAAGUUCACUUGCAAAAUAUGAGAUAUUAUAACCAAUUAUUUUCAUAAACCUUUGAGUCAGUUUUGCCAAUACAUUCAAAACUUUUAAUUGUACACUUUCAUUUCUGAUUCAAGCAUUUUCAUAUCAAAUUCAAUCAAAACAUUCAAAUUAUUUAUUUACUUUGUUCAUCAAACAUCAAAUGGUGCCCAAUUAGGUGUGACUUUUCAAAUAGGUGGCUAGCCUCAAAUUGUUCCUUUAAGGUGGGUGGAACCAAACACUGCUAGUAUUAGUAACCUCUAACCAAACCCCUAGAGGUUGGGGUCCAAAUCAAUUACAUUUCCCACCAAGAAAUGUAAAUGUCAACUAUUAUAUCUCGUUGACAAGGGUCAAAUAAACCAGAGUCAAACACUUAUUUCAAUUAUUCAAAUUUGCAAAACAUAAUAUCUCCACAUUUCUCUAUUGUAAACAAAAUAUAAGGUUCUAACAUACUUUUCAUGCAAAAUAUAUUUGAUUUAUGCAUAAAACGAAUAAUAACUCAAAAUGUUUCCAAAUGAUGUAUAUAAAAAUGUGUUUCUAAAAAUAAUAAUAACUGCAUUAAUUUCCCUUACCUCAAAAGAAGUCCUUGAAAACUUGGAAGAAAAAUAAUCCUGAAAAUUUACUCUUUACCUAACAAAAUAUAAGAGAAAUAACAAUUACUAUUUAUCUAAAAUUAUAGGUUUGACAAUUCUAAAAUUUUAGGUAUUCAAAUUAAUGUUUUUAAUUAUGAAAGAUAAUUUAAUCUAUUCAUAUUUAAAAAAAAAUUAAUAAAUUUUUAAUUCAUAUAAAACUUAAUUUAUUUUUAAUUUAUUUCUUGGGACACAACUUAAUUUAAUUAAACUAUAAUUUAUUUCACUAAUUAAUUUCUAUGUUAUUUAUUAACUUACACUCGUUAUUAGUAUAAUUAUAAUACCAAAAACUUUACUUUCUUUUAUUUAUAAAUUAUAUUUUCUCACUUUCAAGUUUUUUUUUCACCAAACAUAGCUAUACACAACAACUCUCCAUCAUUGCUAUAUAUAUAUAUAUAUAUAUAUUAACCACCCCAAUACCAUCCGUACACAUAUUCUUUUAUUAAAUAAUACAGUACCCAUCAAAGUCUAAUAACACAAAGCCCUGCCAUUAUUAAAUAAUACAGUACUCAAUACUCAAGUACCCAUCAAAGUCUAAUAAUACGGAGUCCUGCUACUAUUAAAUAUUACAUACCCAAGUAUCCAUCAAAGUCUAAUAAUCAAUGUUUUAAAAAUCGGACCGGAUCGGCCGGUCCGACCAGUCCAACCGUCGACCAGUCACCAUUCCGGUCCGAUCCGGUCAUUUGGACCAGAUUGAGAUCGAAUCGGGGUUGAACCGCUUGAACCGGCAAUUCAACCGGUGAACCGAACGAACCAGUCGGUUCAAAUGAUUUUAAUUUUUUUUAAAAAAAAUUACAAAAUGAAAAUAUUAUCCUCUCAUUGAUGGAAGGAUUCCAUAAAAUUUAAAUGGUUUUUACUAAAGCACAUGUUGGGCCCGUCUUAUGACACAGCCCACAUACCCAUUCCACUUACUGUGGGCUGAGUUUUGAGCCCACAAGACCAUCUAAAGCCUUUGUUGAGGAUGGCUUUUAUAGAAGUCAUUUGACUCCUUGUUCCUCUCAAUUUUUGAUGUGGGAUUGCUAAAUAUCAAAGAAAAAAACAUAACAAAACUCCAGCAAGAAGUUUUGAACCUUGGACCAGCCCCUGUACUAUAUUCCACCUAGGACACCACUCGGCUACAUGUAUUUUAUUAUCUAAUAUGCCAAACAAAACAACACAUAUUAGAUUUUAAAUUUUUUUAUAAUAUUAAAUAAAAAUAAUAUAAUAUUUUUAAAAAUUAUGAAAUUAGUUUAAAUUUUCAUUUUUUUAUAUAUUCACAUUUAAAUAUUAUACAUAUUUCAUUUAAUAAAAUUUAAAAUAUUAAUAUGAUUUAAUUUGAUAAUAUCAAAUAUAUAAAAUAAUAUUAUUGAUGUUUAAUUUAUUCAUAUAUAUUUUAAAAUUUUUAUAAUUAUUUUUAAUUUUAAUAAUAUAUAAAUUAUAUAUUUAUGACGUCACCGGUUCGAUUCCGGUCCGACCAGUGAACCGUGAAUCGGUAACUUUUCCGAUUCAAUCACCGGUCCGGUUUUGAAAACAUUGCUAAUAAUAGAGUAUGUGAAAAUCCACCAACUAGAUUUCAACCAUGAAAUCCUUACAAAAAAGGUUGAUGCACAAUUCCUACACGCAUGCAACCAGUGCACACAUGUUUUUUUUCACCAACCUUCUAUUUUCCAAUGCACACGAGUUCUUUUUUUUUUUGUUAAAUCUAAUCUCUUAAGCCACAAUUAACAAUAUAUUUAUUUAUUAUUAUUUAAAAAAAUAAAUAAAUUAACCCUAGUCUAAAUCGAAAUCUUCCCAAGAAUUUUUUUUUUUCCCCAUCUAAAAAAACUUAAGAUCUCCCAAAUUCCAACAAUAAAUCAAAAUCUUAAAAUUUCACUAUUUUGAUAUUAAAACAAAUUAAAAAAAAAUAAUAAACUAACCCUAAUCUAGAUUUGGGUUUUCCAAAAAAAAUAUUUAAUGUGCUUAAAAUUAACUAAUGAAUCUAAAAUAUUAAUCUAGGGGUUAGAAUCUUACCUAUAGAGAUCUGUUCUUCAAACCCUGAAAUCUGACUCCAAUCUUACAUUCUCAGGAACUCUCUGCAAACAAGAACACGAUUCAGAAAAGAACAAGAAGAACAGAAUUCGAAUUUAUACAUAGGGUAUUUAUUCGUAAAAUUACCUUUUCACCCCUCUUCCAUUUUAUUAAAUUAAUUAAUUAAUUAAUUUAAUAUUGUUAUUAAUAAGAAUUUCCUAAAAAGAAACUUGGGCGUUACAGUGUAAGUUGAACAAUUAAACAAUAAUUCAAAAUUAUCCUGUUGUAUUUUAAACUGGAAGUAGCUAGACACUCAUGGGUUUAUCAAAAUCUUGUCUCUAUUCUCCACAGAUCAUAAAUAAGUUAAAGAAAAAAUAAAACCAAGAAGAAAAAUGUACUAUAAGGUAUAUUUAUUCCAAGCUCGUCGAAACAUUGAGAGCACCUAUUUACAAAAUUGUAUUGAAGUCAUGUAACAAUUGAAUCCAACUCAUGCGACUCAUUGUUUUUUUUUUUUUUUUUUUUCUCAAAAAUAGAUUUUUUAAUUGAAAAAGAAAAAAGACAAAUUGUUGAUGGUCUUGAAGUAAUUCAAAGGAUAACCCUCUAAGGUAGGCACCAAAAACCACAAUGUCAAAAGAUGGUAAAACUAAGAAUAUAUGAAGAGCCGAUACAUUAAGUAGGAUUUUUUUAUAAGAUUACGGUGGUUUUAAAAAUAAAUUCCCAAACUAUCGUAGUGGGAAAAAUAAUUCCCAAUCUAUCGUAAUUUUUGCUAGGUAGGAAAGAUGGAUUAUUUUUUUAAAUCGUCUCUUCAAAAGACAAUUUAUGACCUUUUUAAAAAAUUAUAAAAAAAAUAAAUCAUCUUUCUAAAAUAUGAGAAAUUGUCUCUUAAAGAUACGAUUUUGGCAAAAAAAAAAAAAAAAAAUCUUAAAAAAUCCAUUUUUACAUUCCCUACUAUACUUAUAUAAUAAUAUUAUUAUUAUAAAUAUAUGUUAAAAAAUAAUUUAAUUUUAUUUACUAAAUUUAAUAUAUAGUAUAAUAUACUAAAUUUAAUAUAAGAUAAAUAAUAUUUAUCUUUUUUUUUUCUUUCACUUUGAACUAUUAUCAAUUUUAUGUGAAAAUGAGUUUUAAAAAACAAAUUUGUUAUUAAUUUAUUAAGAAAAAAUAAGAAGUGAGAAAUCAUAUGACUAUUUUCACAAAAAAAUUAAAAAAAAUUCAUAAAAAAAAAGAAGAAAAAUUCAAAAAUCUAUUUUUCCAUUCCCUACUAUACUUCUACAAUAAUACAAUUAUUAUAAAUAUAUAUUAUAAAAAUAAUUAAUUUUAUUUAAUAAAUUUAAUAUUUUUCUAUUUUUUUUCUAAAAAACAAAUUUAUUAAAAAAAUCAAAAAUUGAGAAAUCGUCUCUUGAAGAGACGAUUUUCACAAAAAAGAAAAAAGAAAAAUUCAAGAAUCCAUUUUUCCAUUCUCUAUUAUACUUAUACAAUAUACAAUUAUUAUAAAUAUAUAUUAUAAAAUUAAUUAAUUUUAUUUACUAAAUUUAAUAUAAGAUAAAUAAUAUUUAUCUAUUAUUUUUUUUCUUUCACUUUGGAAAAAAAACUAUUAUCAAUUUAUGUGAAAAACGAGUUUAAAAAAAAUGAAAAAAAUAAGGCAUUUAAAGCUUCCAACUUUUGAAUAUCACUUUUUGCAUUCCAAAGGUUGUCUAAAAUGCAUUUUACUUCUAAUUACAUUUCUACGAGAUUUUUUUUACAUUUUCAUGAAUUUUGAUUAAUUUUAGGUCUAUCAAUUUUUUUUUUCAAAAUAUCUGUCUAUAUAUAUAUAUAUAUAUAUACAUAUAUGAUAUAUCUUAUAUAUCUGUAAAAUUGAAGUACCAAUAUAUUUGUAAUUAUCGAUAUUUUCAUCCUUGAUAUGAAUAAUGUUAUUGGCUUUUUAUAAUCAUGAUAGUAGGUGACUUUGAUUCUUUAAUAUUAAAAACAUUUGAUAAUUAAGGAAAACAAUGGUAUUUAUAUUUAUGAUAUAGUGUCUUUGAAUUUCAGGGCUUUUAUUUGGAUAUAUAGUUUUUGAAAAAUGAUUUCUUUUUUUUUUUUUUAUUGUUUUUUAUUUGAUUGAUUUUCUUCGAACCUAUGACAUUAAAAAUUGAAAAAAGAUAAAAAAAAUUUAUAUAAAAUUUUUUUUCUCAAAUUUUUCUUAAUAAAAAAUAGUUAAUCAUUUCUAAUUUUAAGUGUAUUAAAUUAAUUUUAAAGACAUAUUUUAUUAUUUUUUUCAAAUUACUUUAGUUGUUUAUCAUUUAUAAUUACUAAAUAAAAUAUCUUAAUACAAAACUUAUUACUAUUUCUUUUUAAAUUGAUUAAUACUCAAAAAAUUAUAUCUCUUAAUGUUCAAAUUUUUAUUGAAAUUUAAUUUAUUUUUUUAUAUUUUAUUCCUUUCACAGUGAAAUUUUAAAUUAAAGAUUAAUAUUUUUAAUUUUAAAAUUUAUAUGAUAAAAUUAAUUAAUUUUAAAAUUUAUACAAUAAUACAAUUAUUAUAAAUAUAUAUUUAUAAUAAUUGUAUUAUUGUAUAAGUAUAAUAGGGAAUGGAAAAAUGAAUUUUUUUUGUUUUGUUUUGUUUUUUUUUUGUAAAAAUCAUCUCUUAAAGACAUGACUUCUCACUUUUUGUUUUUUUAAAAAAAAAAAUAAAUUAAUAAUAAAUUUGUUUUUAAAAUAAUAGAUAAAUACUAUUUAUCUUAUAUUAAAUUUAAUAUAUUUAGUAAAUAAAAUUAAUUAAUUUUAUAAUAUAUAUUUAUAAUAAUUGUAUUAUUGUACAAGUCUAGUAGGGAAUGGAAAAAUGCAUUUUCUUUUAUUUUCUUGUGAAAGUCGUCUCUUGAAAAGACAAUUUCUCACUUUUUUUUUUGUUUUUUUAAUAAAUUAAUAACAAAUUUGUUUUUUUUUAACUCAUUUUUUCACAUAAAAUUGAUAACAAUUUUUAUUUUUUUAAAUUUAAAAAGUGAAAGAAAAAAAAUAAUAGAUAAAUAUUAUUUAUCUUAUAUUAAAUUUAGUAAAUAAAAUUAAUUAAUUUUAUAAUAUAUAUUUAUAAUAAUUGUAUUAUUAUAUAAGUAUAGUAGGAAAUGGAAGACUGGAUUUUUAAAGUUUUUUUUUUGUGAAAAUCAUCUCUUCAAGAGACGAUUUCUUACUUCUCUCUCUCUCUCUCUCUCUCUUGUUUUGCCAAAAUCUUGUCUUCAAGAAAUGAUUUCUCAUAUUUUAGAAAUUGUGUCUUGGUGUUAUAAAUUGUCUUUUUGAAGAGACAAUUUAAAAAUAAAAAAAAAAAAAUUCUCUCUUUCCUACCUAGCAAAAACUACGGUAGAAUUGGAAUUAUUUUUCCCACUAUGGUAGUUUAGGAAUCGUACUCUUAUAAAAAAUCCCAUUAAGUUAUGUUGGUUUGAGUUAAUAAUUUUGUUCUAUUAUUUUGACAUAUGAUUUUUUUUAAAAUUGUAUGUCUUACUUUCUAUUGAAGGUUUAAGGUUGUUUCAUGAUUAACCGAAAUGACACAAGUAAAUAAAGGUCAGAAAAACACUAAUAGGAUCUAUAUAAUACUUGUAGUGGACAGAAGAUUUUUUUAAGAUUGACCAAAAAUGUUAUUAAAAAAAAAUUAAGGACACUCGAGUCCUAAUGGAAAAAUUCCAAUUUUGUGUAAUUCAAUUAAUUUUAUAGUUAUAAUUAGAUUAAUUAUAUAAUUGUAGUUAUAUUUAUUUUACAAUUAUAUUUAAAUUUAUUUGAAAAUCUUAAUUUGAGUUUACUAGAUAUUUGUAUUAUAUAAAUAUCUUGUCUAAUUAGGUUUUUUGUCUUAUACAAAUAAAAAAAAAAAAACCUUAUUAGCUUUCUUAUUCCUAAAACUCUCAAAGGAAUUCAAUUUACUCCUACCAAGUUGUAAAGACAUUUGCAUCCCCUCAGGUGUUGAGGUGAGAUUCAUUGGAAGGACACAACAUGUUACAUCGUGGAUGUAGAAUGCAAUGUAAGCAAGCAUUGGAGAGUAAGUCUUAGGGUAAUGUUUUUCAAGUAAAUCUACGUAUUAUAUUCGCAUAUAACGGAAUAUAGAUUUAAAGUCUCUAACCUAACUCAUUGGUUUUUUUUUUUUUUUUUUUAUCUCUGCACAUUGUGAGAAGGUUUUCUUCAUAAAAAACUCUUUUUCAAUAUUAUGUUUGAUUGUUUUUUAGGCUUCUCUAAUUUAGAAUUGAGAUAGUUUAAUAAUUAAAUAUAUUUAAUUUAAGGCUUAAAAGGGUUAAACACCUAUUCACCCCUAGGUGUCAUACUAUAUCAAAUAACUUUCAAUGUUGGUGAAAGUUUCUUCUUCAAAAGAGCUUUAACACGUGAUUGUUCUUCAAGGGAGCUUCCAAAGAGCUCAAGGGGCCUUUUUCUUAUCCAAUGUUUUAAUCUCACUCUCAACCAAUGGUAAAAGAAUAAACUUAAUCAUUAAAGAUUAAAUCUAACCAUGAAAGUAUCCAACUCACCUCAACAUAUGUUUUGGAUUUUUUUCAAGAAAGAAUGCAAGAGAGAUGAUUGAGAUGCUUCUGAGAGGAGAGAGUGAGGACAUAUAAAGGACGUUUUGUGCAAGUAAAGAAUCAUUUAUUUUCCAAGGAGAUAUACUUGCUUCUUCACUAAACUGGGAAUGGAUUUAAAUAGCUCCAUUAGGAGUGUAAAUGAAUAAAUAAAAGAAAAGAAAAAUGUGUCCAACAAUUUAUUGAAACCGUAAAGUGAAAGUAAUACAAGACCAUAAUGGGAAAUCCCACAUAUUUAGUAGUAUUUGGGCUUUGUUGUAUUGAAACUUUGGUGUAAGAAAUUUGAAAAUACUUCUAUAUAAUUAUUAAAAAAAAAAAUAGUAGAAUAAGAUAGUCCUUUCGACAUAAUUGAGGCAUUAAAUUUAAGCACUCUAAAGUUAUCAUCUUUACAAAUAAUAAAGAAGUUUUUGCAUCGAGACCAAUUGAAUAUGAUUUGUAUAUUCUUAAUUUUCAUUUUCUUAUCUUUUGUCUUCCUAUACCUACAAGCCUAUUUAGAGAAAGACCUUUUAUCGAAAAAUGAGAGUUCAGAGUUAUUUUCCUUUGAAAAGAGAGUGGAUCGGAAGAUCUUUAUUGAAUAUAGGGUUUCUUCUAAAACAAGAUGAAGUAAAUUAGCAACUCUGAACAAUCUGAAGGAAAAGGAAUUUGAGUUAAGUUGACGGGGUGUGCGACACUUUAUUGGGACUUUAAGAGAUAUUUUCUCUUUCACGCUAUCCUUUGAAAUUGAGUUGUGUUCGCUUUCAACUUAAUUUUUUCUCUCUGUUUUUCUAAUGAAAAUAUAUCUUUUGUUGGGGGAAAAUAUUUUUUUGAAUGUAUAUAUUCAAAUGGAAGGUAAGCGAAAAAAAAAAUGAUAAAAAAUGGGUGUGAUGAAAUUUCAAAUUAUUGAUCAUCAUAUGUAUUUAACCUAAAUCUUAAAAAAUUAAAUGCAAUUAACUCAUUAAAUUUGUUCAAUAAGACUUUUUAUAAAUAAUUUUUGAAUCAUGUAGCAUCCAAAACAAAAAACUUUGUAAAAGAUAUAAUUAACGAUAACAUAAAAUUAUUAAAAUAUUUAAAAUUAAAUAAUAUAAAGAAACAAUAAAAUGGUUCAUUUAUGUUGUUAGAACCAUUGUUUUAAAAAUUGGUCGCUCCGAUCGAUCGGAUGGUCCAUCAAUGCCCUUUCCAGUCCGAUCUAGGGAAAUGGACAGAGACAACCGACGAUCAGACCAUCGACCAUUCUUCAUGGACCGGUCAAGGUCAAAACCUAAAUGGGCUUAAUCCAUUCAUUCCUAACCCGUUUGCAAGUAUAAAUACCUAUCUAUUGGCCCAAAUUCAUUCAUUCCAAGCCCAUUUGCUUGUUCUCAAGAUCUACAUGAAUAAAUACCCUAUAAGUGGUUUAUAGAUUUCCGAUGUGGGAUGGGUUUUGAUAAUAAUGAAAGGAGCUUUGCAUGGUGGGGAAUUGAACCUAGGACUUAUUUUUAACAAAAUGAUAGCACACCACUAUGCUACAAAGCUAUUUGAUAAAUAUCUAUAUAUCUGUUUUUUUAAUUUCUAUCAUAUAAAACAUUUAAACAAAUAUAAAUAUUUAUAUCUACUAUUAUUUUUAUAAUAAUUAUUAAUUAUAAACAUGAAAAUAAUAUAAAUUAAUCAAUAUAAUAAUUUUUAAAAUAACAAAAUACAUAGAUAUAUAAUUAAAUUAAAUAUUAUAAUUUUCUUUUCAUAUUUAAAUAUUAUACAUAUUCUAUUUAAUAAAAUUUAAUAUAUUAAUACAUUUAUAUUUGUAUUUAUCAUUUAAUUUGACAUAUUGAACAUAAAAAAUAAAAUAUUAUUAAAAAUUUUAAUAAAAUAUAUUUUAAUUUAUUAUAAUUUUAUUAAAAUAUAAAUUAUAUAUUUAUAAUGUCAUUGAUUCGAUCGCGGUUUGACUACUGGUUCAACUAGUGAAUCGUGAACUGAUAACUUUUUCGGUUCAAUAUUCGGUCCGAUUUCGAAAACAUUAGUUAAAACUUUUUUAUUUAUAGAAAAUGCUAAUUAUGCUUUAAAGUUGUAGGAUGUUAAAAGCCCAAAUACAUACCUACAUAUUUUCUUAUUUAUCUCCUAGUAUCUUUACCAAGUGAUAGAUAUAUUGGUGGCCAAGCAUUAUCAUCAUCAUUAUUUAUCUCCUAACAUCUUUAUGAAGUGAUAGGUGUAGGAAGAGUGUAAAUAAUUUUUAUUUUAUUUUAUUCUAUUAGUUUUAUAUUUUUUGGGAAGAUUCCUAUUGAGAAUUAUUUUUAUUUUAUUUUAUUCUAUUAGUCUUAUAUUUUUGGGAAGAGUCUUAUUGGGAUUGUGCUAGUGGAGUCCCAUUCCUUUUAUAAGUAGAAUCCCCUUCCACUUUGAGUCAUGUUUUAAUUACAAGUAGAUUCACAUUAGGACUGUGUUAGUGCCUAUAAAAGCAAGUCACCUUUCACUCUCUAUAUACCAAUACCAAUUUUUCAAAGAAUUUUUCAGAGAGUUUUUCAAAGAGUCUUUUCAUACAUCUAUCUGGAUGAUUUUUUUCAAAAACCUAAGCUGUAUAUAUCUCGCUUAUAGAGUACACCCAAGGCGAGAUUUGGGUGUUGAAUCUCGGAGAUAGACCAUUGGUACCCUAGUGUACCAAAUUUGUCUUCGAGGAUGGUGGAUCUAUUUCAAGGACAGUGUUUGUCAUGCCUUAGUCAAUAAGUUUUUCUUCUUAUUAAUCAUGUUCUUUGUUUGUGUCUUUUGGGCUAGUAAUUUGUUUCCAUAUCCUUAAUCCAACAAUCUUGAAAUAUAUCCAAAUGUAAGCUUCUCUAGUUCACACCAGUCUUGAGACCUCUAAAAUUGAUCCCUUCAAUGGGACAUUCUUUAAGAAAUGGCAGGAAAAGGUUUUCUCUACAAUUGAUAUAAUGAAUUUGGGACACAUUUUGACUGACCCAAUACCAGAAGAUGGUUCUCAUUUGUUACCAACCUGGGAAACUGGAAAUAAACAAGUUAGGCAUGCUAUUCUAAGUACCCUUUCUAAUGAAAUUUUUUAUAUUUAUUGUCAAUUUAAAGUUGCAAACGAAACUUGGGAUGCAAUGAAUAAAAAAUAUAGUUUGGAAAAUGCAAGAACUCAGAAAUAUGCCAUAGGGAAUUUUAAAAUUUUCCAAAUGACUGAGGAUAGAGAUGUAUCAUCUCAAAUCCAUGACUACCACUUGUUAAUUAAUGACUUAGCUAUUGAAGACAUUAAAUUACUCGAACAUUUUGUAGCUGGUUAUUUAGUAGAGACUUUUCUAGAGUCUUGGAAAGACUAUAAAAAUAACAUGAAACAUAAAAGAAAACAAAUGUCCCUAGAGGAUGUCAUAAUCCAUAUUAGGAUUGAGGAACAAAACUGAAAUAGGGACAAUGCUGAGAAAGUUAAGGAAUUGUCUUCUAAGACUAAUGUAGUAGAAGAAAAACCUAAACCCCAAAAUAAUAGGUCCAAGAAACAAACUCUAGGAACAAGCCCAAUGCAUCAAACAAGAUCCAAAACCCAACUAUUAAAAAAAAAAAAGAGUAAGGAUCUUGUUUGACUCUGAUAAAAUAGUUUUAACCAAGAAUGAUGCAUUUGUGGGGAAGAGCUAUUGUAAUAAGGGUUUAUUUAUGUUGAAUGUUUAUGAUAUUAUCAAUAAUAAUGCAUCUUUUUUUUUUUUUGCUUACAUAGUUGAUUCUUGUGAUAUUUGGCAUGGUAGACUAGGACAUGUGAACUUUUCAUAUAUGAAGAAAAUGGUUAAAUUGAGUUUAAUCCCUAAAUUGUCCUUAGAAAACCAUGGAAAAUGUGAAUCUUGUGUAGAAUCUAAAACCAUAAAGAAAUCUUGCAAAUCAGUUGAAAGAGAAUCAAAUCUACUAAGUUUAAUACACAGUGACUUAGGAGACCUAAAAAAUACAAUGACUAGAGGUAAACGAUUCUACAUAACUUUCAUAUAUGACUACUUAAGGUAUACAAGGGUAUAUCUUAUGCUUUCAUCAAGUACAAAAAUGAAGUGGAAAAUCAACGAAGUAAGAAAAUUUAAAAACUUAGAACUGAUAGGGGAAGAGAGUAUGUGUCCAACCCCUUUAAUUCUUUUUGUGAAGAUCAUGAGAUCAUUCACAAAACCACUCCUCCUUAUUCCCUGAAGUCUAAUGGAGUAGUAGAAAGGAAAAAUAAGACCUUAAAAGAAAUGAUGAAUGCAAUGUUGGUAAGUUCAGGAGCACCCUUGAACUUGGGAGAGGAAGCUAUCCUAUCUGCAUGUCAUAUUCAAAAUAGAAUACCUUAUAAGAAAACUGGAAAAACUCUUAUGAGUUGUGGAAGGGUUAUGCACCUAAUAUAGCAUACCUGAAAGUGUGGGGGUGUUUAGCUAAAGUUCUCUUCCUUGAACCUAAAAAAUGAAAACUAGGUCCUAAAACCUUUAAUGCAAUGUUACUAAGUCAGAAAACAGUCUUGUAGAUGUUAAUAUUAUAAUGGAAACAAAGAAUGCAGAUUUCUUUGAAAACAUAUUUCCUAUGAAACUAAAUGGUGAACAACAAGUUUAAAAAACAAGUAGAGACAAGUCUAUUGAACCUUUUGAAUUUGAACCUAGAAGGAGUAAAAGUGAUAGGAAAGAAACAAACCUUGGAGAUGGUUUCUACACCUUCCUAAUAGAUGAGGACCCUGAUCCUACAAAGAAGCUAUAACUUUUCCUGAUGCACCAUUCUAGAAGGAUGCCAUUAAUAGUGAAAUCGAAUCAAUCAUGUAUAACCAUACAUUGGAGUUAGUAGAUUUACCUCCUGGUGCAAAGACUAUUGGCUGUAAGUGGAUCUUUAAAAGAAAGUUAAAACAAGAUGGGUCCAUAGAGAAGUAUAAAACUCAUUUAGUUGCCAAAGGCUUUAAACAAAGGAAUGAUGUAGAUUACUUUGACAACUUUGCCCCUAUGACUAGAAUAACAUCAAGUAGAGUAUUGAUCGCUCUAGCUUCCAUUCAUAAUUUGGUUAUACACCAAAUGGAUGUCAAGACUGCAUUCUUGAAUGGGGAUUUGGAAGAGAAAAUUUAUAUGGAACAACCUGAGGGUUGUGUAGUUCCAAGGAAGGAGAAAAAGGUGUGUAAGUUGGUUAAAUCACUAUAUGGGUUAAAAAAAAGCUCCCAGACAGUGGCACAACAAGUUUGAUCAUGUGUUAGUAACUAAUGGAUAUUCCAUUAAUGAUGCUGAUAAGUGUAUCUAUAAUAAGUAUGAGGAUAACACAUGUGUAGUCAUUUGCCUUUAUGUUUAUGACAUGCUGAUCUUUGGAACUAGCCUAGAGAUUGUGUGUGAGACCAAGAAAUACCUAGGUCCUAAGUUUGAUAUGAAAGAGCUAGGAGAGGCAGAGGUGAUUCUAGGAAUUAAAAUAACUAGAACACCUAAUGAGCUUAAAAUUUCUCAAGAGCACUAUGUUGAAAAGAUCCUAAGGAAGUUUGAACACUUUGAUUGUAAACUAGUGUCAACUUCUUAUGAUCCUAGCUCACUGCUGAAGAAAAAUAGAGAACAUAGUGUUGCCCAAAUAGAGCAUGCUCAUAUCAUAAGGAGCCUAAUGUACUUGAUGAACUGUACCAGACCUGACAUUGCUUAUGCAGUAGGUAGAUUGAGUCGAUACACCCAAAGUCCUAAUUAGGACCAUUGGACUAUUGUUCCUAGAGUCCUUAAGUAUUUGAGAGGCACCAUUAACUAUGGUUUGUGCUUUAGUGGAUUUCCAAGUGUCCUUGAAGAAUUUAGUGAUGCAAAUUGGAUCUCGGAUUCAGAUGUGAUGAAAUCCACUAGUGGAUAUGUUUUCAUCUUUGGUGGAAGUAUAGUUUCUUGGAAGUCUACCAAGCAAACUUGUAUUACUUGGUGUACUAUGGAGGCUAAGUUUAUUACCUUAGAAAAAACAAGUUUUGAGGUUGAGGGGCUUAGAAACCUCUUAGCAGAUAUCCCUUUAUGGAAGAGACCAACCCCGUCUAUGUCUAUGCGUUGUGAUAGCCAAGCUACAAUUGCUAAGGCUAAGAGUAAAAUAUUUAAAGGGAAGAAUAGGCAUGUACGGCUAAGGCACAAUAUUGUGUUGUAGCUUCUUGAAACAGAGGUUAUAUCCUUAGAAUUUGUGAGGUCAAAGUUGAAUUUGGCCGAUCCUUUGACCAAACCACUAAAUAAGAAACUAGUGGAAGAAACAUUGAGGGGGAUGGGGCUUAUGCCUAUUACAGAAGUCAAGAGGGGGGGGGGGGGGGGGGGGGGGGAACCCCCCCCUUUAAAAAGGAAAUUCCCUGAAGAGGGUUCUAUGGGGAAAAAAAAAACCCUUUUUGACUUGGGGCCCCUAUCAACCCUAAUUUUUGAAAAUCUUUCCCUUUUGGGGGAAAAAAAGCGGAUUUCCCCUUUUUUAAGGGUGAAAGUUUUCCCCUUAAAAAAAACCCAAUUCCCUUGGGGGAAAAUGUUUAAAAGGCAAAAAAACUUGGGGGGUCCCCCCAUAUGAAAAGGGGGGGGGGGCCCCCUCCCUUGAAAAAUUAGGGAGUUUCUCUAAAAAUUUCCUGAAAAUCCCAAAAAAAGCCAUGACCCAUUUUUGCCCACCCCUUUUNNNNNNNNNNNNNNNNNNNNNNNNNNNNNNNNNNNNNNNNNNNNNNNNNNNNNNNNNNNNNNNNNNNNNNNNNNNNNNNNNNNNNNNNNNNNNNNNNNNNGGGGGGGGGGGGGGGGGGGGGGGGGUAACCCACCCUAUUAGAAUGGAAAUUCCAUGAAGUAGGUUCAUAUGGGUAAUAACAAAUCACUUGUUGACUUGAGGUCCUAUAUCAACUCUAAUUGUAUGAGAGUCUAUCCUUAUGGUGUAGAUAGAGCGUAUUCUGCAUUGAUUAAGGUUGAAUGUUUACUCUUAAUGAAUACCAUAUUCCUUAUGGAUGAUAUGUUUAAAUGCAUAAUAUACUUGAUGGAUUCACCUAUAUGAGAGUGGAGGUGGGGCCGCUUCCUAUGAGAACUUAGGUAGUUUCUCUAGAAUUCUCAUGAAUAUCCAAGUAGAGCGCAUGACCUAUUUGUGCCAACCCGUUUUGUACAACUCGUAGUGUAGUUGAGAAAACCAAUGUGGAUAAAAUUCCAUUGAGUUACAUUAAGAAACACUGGUUCAUAGAAAUUUAUUUUCACCCUGUUUUGUAAUUCAAUACUUAUUUGUCCUAAGACUAGUUCAUAGCCUUUGGGCACCAAUACUGAUGCAUUGGAUUCUUUUUUCCUAAAAAUAAAAAUAAAAAUAAAUAAAUAAUCAUGUUUACACUUUGUGGGAGAUUGUAGGAAAAGUAUAAAUAAUUUUUAUUUUUAUUUUAUUUUAUUCUAUUAGUCUUAUAUUUUUGGGAAGAGUCCUAUUGGGAUUGUACUAGUGGAGUCCCAUUUCUUUUAUAAGUAGAAUCCCUUUCCACUCUGAGUCAUGUUCUGAUUACAAGUAGAUUCCCAUUGGGACUGUGUUAGUGGCUUAUAAAAGCAGGUCACCCCUCACUCUCUAUAUACUAAUACCAAAUUUUCAGAGAAUUGUUUAGAGAGUAUUUCAAAUAUUCUUUUCAUACAUCUAUCUGGAGAAAUUUUUUCAAAAACCCGAGCUGUACACAUCUCGCUUACAGAGUGUACCCAAGACAAGAUCUGGGUGUUGAAUCCUGGAGGUAGACCACUAGUACCCUAGUGCAUCGAAUUCGUCUUCGAGGAAGGUGGAUCUAUUUUAAGGACAGUGUUUGUCACAUCUCAGCCAAUAAGUUUUUCUUCUUAUUAAUUCUAUUCUUUGUUUGUGUCUUUGGGGCUAGUCAUUUGUUUCCUUACCCUUAAUCUAACAAUAGGUAUAUGGGUGGCCCAAUCAUCAUCAUCAUUAUCAUCAUCUUUAAGAAGUGUAAAAUAAAUUUCCAUAAUAUUAUAACUAUUCAAGUUAUACACUACAAUCAAACAUAUUACAUUAAAAAAAAAAAAUCAUAAGUAGCUAGAUUCAAGAGGUACUGUAAAACAUACCAUGUUUUGACCAAGUGUAGCUUCCAAUUCUUAUGUAAAAGUCUAUUUAUUACAAGAAAUUAAAAAAGGAAAAGGAUUAAAAUCUUAAAAACAUGGCAAUAAUAAAACCCUUAGCAAAUAUCUAUUUGAAACUGUGUCAAAAUUUGCCUCAAAUUAACUUUUGAAUUAACUUUACUAUUAUUAUUGUUGGUGCAUAACCUUUUUGGAUGUGAUGAUCCAGUGACUAUCCAAGUCGCUAGCCAAUCUUCUAAUGUCACCUCCUCUAUUGGUGGGUGAUUUGGCUCUCUAGGAAAAUGAUCCCAUUUUUUCCAUGUUCUUUUUCCUCCUUUAUAGGCUUGAGUUAGAUGUUGGAGGUUGCGUGACAUACACGAUUAGCUUAGUAGGUUUGUGUUAGGCGGCGUGUGGCUGACUAGCCCUGAUGCUUCCUAUUGAUGUGAUAAAAUGAGGUUUUCCUUUGAGAUUUGUUCCUCAUACACAUCUUGUUGUUGCCUUCAGUAUAUGUGCUACAUGAUCCAUUUUGGUGGCUGAACAACUUCUUCCUAGUGACCAAUUUUUUAUUUUUUUAAAGAUCGAUUGGGGUAGGCUCUCAGAUCUCUCAGAUCAUUGUAGGUUUAAAUGGAGUCAAGAUGACCUCUCGACCUGGAGACAAUAUUCAACUGAUAUAACAUCUGGGUAUCCCUUCUCGCAAAAAUUCGGUACCCUCAAAAGACAGCUUUUGUAGCAAUAUUCGUCAUCCCCAACCUAAACAAGUACGUAGACCCACAUGUUGGUUGACUUCUAUAGUUGGUACCUUCAUUGCCCCAUUUCUUCAUGACCAAGUAGGUUUGGGACGACGUGCGUCAGGAGCUACUUGGGCUUGAAACCUUCGUGUUGCAAUCCUAGGAAGACGGUAGGUCAUACAUGCAUCACCUUGAGGAGUGGCAACAUUAGGGGAUUUUCACAAGGCGACACAAUGUGCACAACCGUUUUUUUAUUUUUAUUUGGGAAUUUUGCUUUGUUUAGGAACUUUGCUAAAAUGGGCACUUGACCUUGAUGAACAUUUUUCCUAGAUGGACACUCGACCUUGGUGGGCAUUUCACCUAGAUGGGCGCUUGGCCUUGAUGGGCAUUUCGCCUAGAUGGGCACUUGGCCUUGAUGGACAUUUUGUCUGGAUAGGCACUUGGCCUUGAUAAGUAUUUGCUUAGAUGAGCAUGUCACCUUGUUAAGCACUUGGCCUUGAUAGACAUCAUCUAGAUGGGCGUUUUGCCUUGAUGUGCACUUGGCUUUGAUGAACAUUUUGCCUAGAUGGGUAUUUUGCCUUCUUUGAUCUUUCGUAGGUUGGAACUCUAUAGGUGGUGGGGUUGUGUUUUGGGUUGUAUUUUCCAGGCGCACAGGUGUAGGGGUAAGGAAAUGCUACCUUUCCUCCUGGUUUUAGCUCCAAAUGUGCUUAUUGCCAUGCCACAGUUUUCUUCUCGAGACUUGAGUAUGCUUGUAAGUAUUGUUCUGCUUCUUCUUGUUGUGUUUAAGGGUAAGUUGAGUUUUUUUUUGUACUCUUACAUUUUCUCUCCAUCUUUCUUUAUCUUUAUUCUGUUGUACAGAUGAAGUGUGGCAUCAAGGAUUUUAGUAGGCGAAAGGGUGAGUUUCACUACCAUAUUGCUGAAACUGACCAACUGAGGCAAGUCGAGUACUUCUUUUGCACCUAAGGCUUUUGGUCGGGUGCUUUCUUGGCACCUGACGAUUUGGCUGAGUGUUUCUUGGAACCUAAGGCUAUGGUUGGGUGAUGUUUGGCACCUAAGGCUUUUUGGUUGAGUGCUUCAUUGACACUUAAGACUUUGUUGGGCGCUAUGCUUAGUUGGGUACUACUUGGACACCCUAGGCUUUGUUGGGCACUAGGCUCAUCUGGAUGCCACUUGGGCACCUUAGGCUUUAUUAGGCUCUAAGCCUGGUUGGGUGCUACUUGGGCACCUUAGGCUUUGUUGGGCGCUAGGCCCAGUCAGGUGCUACUUGGGCACCUUAGGCUUUAUUGGGCUCUAAGGUUGGUCGGGUGCUACUUGGGCACCUUAGGCUUUGUGGUGCUCUAGGUCCAUCUAGGUGCUACUUCGGCACCUUAGGCUUUAUUGGGCUCUAAGCUUGGUCAAGUGCUACUUGGGCACCCUAGGCUUUAUUAGGCUUUGGACUUGGCCAGGUACUACUUGGGCACCUUAGGCUUUGUUUGGCUCUAGGCCUGGCUAGGUGCUACUUGGGCACCCUAGGCUUUAUUGGGCUUUAGCCUUGGCCGGGUGCUACUUGUGCACCUCAGGCUUUGGGCUUGGCUGGGUGCUACUUGGGCACCUUUGACUUUGUUAUGCUCAAGCCCUGGUUGGGUGCUACUUGGGUACCUUAGGCUUUGUUAAGCUCUAGGUCUGGCUGGGUGCUACUUAGACACCUUAGGCUUUUUGGGUCUAAUUGUGGACCCGCAUUUUUCACAUGCGUCUCCACUCGAUCGGCGAGACUCGCUUUUUAUUUGUGAAAAAUUAAUUUUUGGAAAAAAGUUGGAGCCGCCACUUAUUUUAUUUUUAUUUUAAAGGGAAAAUAAAACAAGAAAGAAAAACCCUAAAUGUGACUCCAUAAUUUUUGGAAAAAAAAGCAUGUCUUCGAAAAACCCGAGUCUAAGUCCGGGGAUCAGGUUACUUAUUGGGAAGGUACCUUUAAAAGGUAGCACCCCUCUAAGCCCUACAAAGGUCUCUACUGACAACGUUAAGGGAAGUGUGACCAUUAAUCAGUUAAUUAUAGGUACCUAAGUAGGCUAGGUGAUUUCAAAUAAAAUAGCAUGCCAAACAAGAUCAAAUCACAACAAAAAAAGGUUAGGGUGCGUACCUGGUCUGCCUCUCAAGCGCUAUCACAAAACAUAAGAGUUAGUGUAGAAAUCCAUCACACAACAUAUAUCUUGCCGGGGAAAAAUCUAAUAUAUAUUUAAACACCCAAGAAUCACAUCAUGCAUGGAUAUAGUCACCCAUAGCAUACGUGUGCAUAGAAUUCUCGAAAAAAANNNNNNNNNNNNNNNNNNNNNNNNNNNNNNNNNNNNNNNNNNNNNNNNNNNNNNNNNNNNNNNNNNNNNNNNNNNNNNNNNNNNNNNNNNNNNNNNNNNNNNNNNNNNNNNNNNNNNNNNNNNNNNNNNNNNNNNNNNNNNNNNNNNNNNNNNNNNNNNNNNNNNNNNNNNNNNNNNNNNNNNNNNNNNNNNNNNNNNNNNNNNNNNNNNNNNNNNNNNNNNNNNNNNNNNNNNNNNNNNNNNNNNNNNNNNNNNNNNNNNNNNNNNNNNNNNNNNNNNNNNNNNNNNNNNNNNNNNNNNNNNNNNNNNNNNNNNNNNNNNNNNNNNNNNNNNNNNNNNNNNNNNNNNNNNNNNNNNNNNNNNNNNNNNNNNNNNNNNNNNNNNNNNNNNNNNNNNNNNNNNNNNNNNNNNNNNNNNNNNNNNNNNNNNNNNNNNNNNNNNNNNNNNNNNNNNNNNNNNNNNNNNNNNGGUGCCUAAUGGGCCAAGUGUAUCUAAAAGCUAUCCUAAAAAAAACAAGAAAAGCCUAAGUCUAAGUUAGGGCUGCCAAGGGUCACAAUAAGGGAUCAAAUAAUCCCUCAACCAAAGUCUCCGAGGUGACUCAGAGAAAGGUAAGUGGUAUGAGUAGCCAUGGGCCAUCAAGGAACUACUGUGGAACACUAAAAAUGAAUUUAAAGACAUGCGAUAAAGGGACAAAAUUGAGGGUCUACAAAUAUGCCCCUCUUUGGUAUAGAUCACGAGUGUAGAGAAUGUGAGUAGAGAUACGAGUAAUGAGCAGAAUGAAGUGAACUAUACCGAAGAAUUAAAGAAGGACCAGAGAUUUUGUCGUAGCACAUGAAGAGGUAAGAUUAAAAGAUGGGGUCUCAACGAUAUGGACGGGACAACUCUAUGUGGGGGAAUGACAAUAAAGAGAGAACAGUAUGUGACGAGUAGCACAAAGAUGGAAAGAGGUGAAAAGGAUGAUUCAAAGUCAUGGAUGACAUGAAUGACUCUGGAUCAUGGACAAGGUGAAUGACUCUAGAUCCAAAAUAGGAUAAAAGACUCUGGGUCAUGAGCUCAGGGCUCUAAUCGGAAAGAAUGACUCUGGGUCGAGAUGGAAAAUGACUCUAGGUCGAGAGCCCUAGGCUCUAAAUGGAAAAGAAAUGACUCUGGGUCAAAAUGGAAAAUGACUCUGGGUCGAGAGCCCUAGGCUCUAAAUGGAAAAAGAAAUGACUCUAGGCUUAAUGGAAAAUGACUCUGGGUCGAGAGCUCCAGGAUCUAAAAUAGGAAAGAAUGACUCUGGGUCGAAAUGGAAAGUGACUCUAGGUCGAGAGCUCCAGGCUCUAAAAUAGGAAAGAAUGACUCUGGGUCGAAAUGGAAAAGUGACUCUGGGUCGAGAGCUCCCAGCUCCAAAAUAAGAAAGAAUGACUCUGGGUCGAAGUGGAAAGUGACUCUGGGUCGAAAUGGAAAGUGACUCUGGGUCGAGAGCUCCGGGCUCUAAAUGGAAAGGAAUGACUCUGGGUCAAAAUGGAAAACGACUCUAGGUCGAGAGCUCCAAGCUCUAAAAUAGGAAAUAAUGACUCUGGGUCGAAAUGGAAAAGUGACUCUAGGUCGAGAGCUCCCAGCUCCAAAAUAAGAAAGAAUGACUCUGGGUCGAAGUGGAAAGUGACUCUGGGUCGAGAGCUCCCAGCUCCAAAAUAAGAAAGAAUGACUCUGGGUCGAAGUGGAAAGUGACUCUGGGUCGAAAUGGAAAGUGACUCUGGGUCGAGAGCUCCAAGCUCUAAAAUAGGAAAUAAUGACUCUGGGUCGAAAUGGAAAAGUGACUCUGGGUCGAGAGCUCCCAGCUCCAAAAUAAGAAAGAAUGACUCUGGGUCGAAGUGGAAAGUGACUCUGGGUCGAAAUGGAAAGUGACUCUGGGUCGAGAGCUUCGGGCUCUAAAUGGAAAGGAAUGACUCUGGGUCAAAAUGGAAAACGACUCUAGGUCGAGAGCUUCAGGCUCUAAAAUAGGAAAGAAUGACUCUAGGUCGAAAUGAAAAGUGACUCUGGGUCGAGAGCUCCGGGCUCUAAAAUAGGAAAGAAUGACUCUAGGUCGAAAUGGAAAGUGACUCUGGGUCGAGAGCUCCAAGCUCUAAAAUAGGAAAGAAUGACUCUGAGUCGAAAUGGAAAAGUGACUCUGGGUCGAGAGCUCCCAGCUCCAAAAUAAGAAAGAAUGACUCUGGGUCGAAGUGGAAAGUGACUCUGGGUCGAAAUGGAAAGUGACUCUGGGUCGAGAGCUCCGGGCUCUAAAUGGAAAUAAUGACUCUAGGUCGAAAUGGAAAGUGACUCUGGCUCGAGAGCUCGGGGCUCUAAAUGGAAAGGAAUGACUCUGGGUCAAAAUGGAAAAUGACUCUGGGUCGAGGGCUCCGGGCUCUAAAUAGAAAGGAAUGACUCUGGGUCAAAAUGGAAAAUGACUCUGGGUCGAGAGCUCCGGGCUCUAGAUAGAUAGCCGAUCAGGAUACUUUCCGACUCAAGGUGUCGGGUCGAGGCCACUCACAAGUGGCUAGAAUGAUGAAAACGAAACAUCUCAGGGAUGAAUGAUGCAAAUGACUCCGGGUCGUGAGCUCAGGGCUCGGGGUGCUAUGAAUGACUCUGGGUCAAGAUGGAAAAUGACUCUGGGUCGAUGAAUAGCUCAGGGCUAUGAGCUCCGGGCUCUAUGACUGAUCGGCUAGAAGGAGAAUGCGAUACGCAAACUCCAGGUCAAACCACUCAUGGGCGACCAAGUGAUGAAAGCUCAGCUAAGAGCUGGAAAGACUCUGGGUCUAUAGGAAAUGAUAACUCAGGGCUAGCGGGCUCAGGGCCUAAGGGAAAAAGGAUAGGUCAGGGCUAUAAGACUCAGGGUCUAGAAGGAAUGGAUAGCUCAUGGCUACGAGGCUCAGGGCCUAAAAAAAGAGGAUAGCUCAGGGCUAGUGGGUUCAGGGCCUAAGGGAAAAAGGAUAGCUCAGGGCUAUAAGACUCGGGGUCUAUAGGAAAUGAUAGCUCAGGGCUAGCGGGCUCAGGGCCUAAGGGAAAAAGGAUAGGCUAUAAGACUCAGGGUCUAGAAGGAAUGGAUAGCUCAUGGCUACGAGGCUCAGGGCCUAAAAAAAGGAUAGCUCAGGGCUAGCGGGCUCAGGGCCUAAGGGAAAAAGGAUAGCUCAGGGCUAUAAGACUCGGGGUCUAUAGGAAAUGAUAGCUCAGGGCUAGCGGGCUCAGGGCCUAAGGGAAAAAGGUAGGCUAUAAGACUCAGGGUCUAGAAGGAAUGGAUAGCUCAUGGCUAUGAGGCUCAGGGCCUAAAAAAAGGAUAGCUCAGGGCUAGCGGGCUCAGGGCCUAAGGGAAAAAGGAGAAGACCAACUCGAAAGUGGACAUGAAAUAAAUUGGCUCAAAGCCAUUUACUCAAAAGGUCAAGGGUCGGACUACUGAAACCAAGAAGGGAAAUAUGCCCCAGUAUCCAGGGUGCUCACACUGCCGAAACAACCAGUAAAUCAAUCAUCCGCUGAAAUCAAUGGGUCAAGAACCAAUACAUCAUGACAAACCUCUGAAAAGUCUAAACUGAAGAAACCCUCUAUGUCUGAAAAGCUACUCUGUCGGUGAAUCUCAAAAGGUAAAUCUCAAAGAGUGUGUAUCAUGGCUCAUCUAAAAGUAAACCUCAAAGUGCAUAAAAUGCUGCUCAUCUGGAUAAUCCAAUCUGCAAGGUAACAAUGACGAAAACAAAUCUGUCUUGUGAACAUCUGGCUAAAGGAUCUCGGGUGAAACCUGACGUGAUCCAUCUCUAUCUCAAAAAAUCCAUGUAGGGAGGCCCUGAUACAGUCGAUCGUCGGAAGCUCUGGGCUAGUGCUCAAUCUAAAACCAAGCUGGCCACUGUCUCAAUCUCAAAGAUACUCAAAGAGAAUGGGGGAAAUAUGCCCCAGUAUGAGAUCCGAUAUCAAAUUCAUGAGGUAAACAACCGACACCAAUCAUCUAUCCUCAUAUCACUACCCAAAAAAAUCUCGUAAAGGAGAGGGGAAUAUGCCCCAGUAUGGAUAUCUGAUGUCAAAGUCAUGAGCUAAACAACAACAAUGAUCAUCCAUCUAUAUACCGCUGCCCGAAUAAAUCUCGUAAUGGAGAGGGGAAUAUGCCCCAGUAUGGAUAUCGGAUGUCGAAGUCGUGAGGCAAACAAACUAACAAUGAUCAUCCAUCCUCGUACCGUAUACAAUAACAGAUAAGAAUCUCGGAGGAAGGGGGGAAUAUGCCCCAGUGUGAAUAUAUGAUGCACAACCAAAGGAUGAAUCCAACAUCAUCAAUCAACUAUCCUCAGCUCAACAAUAAUCCGCUAAGAAGUCAGAAUGAUGUAUCAACCAAUGCCUCAAGGGAGACACUCUAAAUCUAAUCUCAAAUGAAUAGCCAAAAUGAUGAGGAAUGUGGUAAUCUCAAAAGUAGAAACAUGUCUCUGAUGAAUCCCUGACUGAAUCUGAUAGGAAUCUGGUAACCUCAAAAUGGGGAAAUAUGCCCCAGUAUGCCUGGUCUAUACACUGCACUGAAAACUGCCUCCAACUCAGUAAUAAUCCACUAGUCUAUCUCAGAAGUACUCCGGGAAUGGAACCACUAGGGGCUCAACGAUGCUCCACUAGAACUGAUAUAGUCUCAACAUACCUCACUAGGGAUCUCUGAUCGGUGAAAAUACCCAGACUCAAAGAAAGUGCUCCACUAGGGGCUCAUCUCAGCCAGAUGAAAGGGGAAUAUGCCCCAGUAUGGAUAUCUAAUGCACAACCAAAGGAUGAAUCCAAUAUCCUCAAUGAACUGUCUCCAAACCCAAAAAUCCAUCAAACAUCAAUAUGCCAAGCAAGAGAGAGACCAAAUGCUUCCAAAAGUAUCUUCCAUAAAAGAAAACAUAGUAACGACCAAACUUCAACCAAUCUACCAAAAACCUGUCCAAGUGAAGACUGUCAAAGAUAACGUCUGAUCUCGUGGCCUCAGGGUGGUCUUAAGACACGGGACGUAACGUAGGCCAAGGUGAUAGGGUGAAAGAAAUGAAGGGAAACUAGGCUCAAAUACCCAAUGAUCAAACUCGUACCCUCGUGUACAAGAUGUAAUGCAUAGAAAAAUCUCAUGAGUCAUGGACUUAGAAGUAACCAAAGGGAAUGCCGAUAACGAAAUGAGAGAAAGGAUGAAUGGUCAAACCAUCAAUGGAAUAUGUGAAUGAUGUGAAGAAGGUAUCAAAUCAGUAAUGGGUAUCAAUAUGUAGGGAAUGAAUAAAAGGUGAAACAAAGAUCUGGAAUGAGGUAAUGGGAUACAAAAGAAAGCAAUGAGAAAGUGGAAUGAGUGAUGAUCAACCCAUGUUAGUACAAUAAAGGAAAGUCAUAUCACCAAUGAUGGAAUGGUGGGUAUAAGACAAUGAUCCGGAGACCCUAGUAAAAAGGUCACUCAUCUCUCAUACCUAAUAUAUAUCAAUCAUGAUCCAAACAACAUAGGAUCUCAUAGAACUCUCACAUGAACCCUCGACACUCCAAAUGCAUAACAAGAGUGACUCAAGGACUGAAAAACUCAUAAAAAACUCACAAAAACCCACAACGACAAAUAUACCCAAUAAAUGAACCUCAAAAGGUGGCAUAAAUGCCCAAUGGAACAAGAUACCAUACAUGAGCAUAUUAUUGCGCUUUUCUUUUCUUUUUCUUUUUUCUGAUUUUUGAUUGAUUUUUUUUUUGAUUUUUUUUUAUUUUGAUUUUUUUUUUGAUUUUUUUUUUUUUGCGCAUGCUCUGAUCAUCAAUAAAUCAAACUCCAAUGGAAAAAUAUAAGGAAUGAACAAACUCUCUCUGACCACUGAUGAAUACAUGAACCCCAACCCAUGAGACAACCUCUCAAACUAAGAUCUCCGAAUCAAUGUCAAAUGAUGGAAUGAAUAGAGUGAUAUGACUGCCUUCUUUGCACUAAGACGUGAAGAAUCAUCAACCCAAGGAAGAGAAUAAUAAGAUGAAGCAAAUAAUGAUAGAGAAAAGAAAGAGAAUGAAUAUAUGAUGAUAAUAAAAUAGAACAAAUAGGGUGAUAAGAGGAUGGUAACAAAAUGAGAAGAUAGACCUGUAAGUCUAAAGCUCAUGAGACUUUCCUACCAAAGCAUGCAUAUACAUCAAAGGGCCCCAACCCGGGUAUAGAAAUGGUAAUCAAAGCUAUAAGAAAGAAAUAAGGCUAUAACAUACCACGCGAAGCUCAAUGGGCUAGCAACGGUCUAAUAUAUAGAGGUGAUAAAGUAUGAGGCUAACCGAAAUGAUGGCCACCCAUCCUGCGACCACAGUCUCAAACAUAAUACUUCUUUAGUUGAUCCACGUUGGUAGGCUCUGAAAAUUGGUUUCCAUCUAAGUCUGUCAACCAUGCAGCCCCUUCUGGAGUCAACUCCCGGAUAACAUAAGGCCCACUCCAACUAUCAUCCAACAUGUCUAUCUUAGGCCCAUCAUGAAGAAAACCAUGUCAAUCAAAGCUCCCAUCUGAGAAAAAUUAACGUCCUCUAUAAGAACUCUCAUCUGAUAAACUUUGACUCAUAAUCCACUAAACUCAUCAUAUGUACGAAGUCACCCUCAACAAUGUCACUGGCUAACUGGGUGGUGGGGGUGGUUGGUAAUGAAUCAUACGACAUCUCAUCCUGAACUGGAUACUAUCUAUCUCACUGUCCAUCAAUCCUCUGGCUCAAACCUGCUAAUGUCUCUUGAAUAGAGUCAUGGUGACUGUAAGUCGAUCAACUGUAUCAUACUGAGGAUCCAUACCUGACUUCUUUGAAACCUUGACCAAUCUAUCUCCAACUCUGAUAUAAAAAGUCGAAUCCAAACUGAAGCGAGUAACAUUCCUAUAAGGUACAAAGACGCGGAAAGAGAAAUGACAUGAAGGAAGCUCAGAAGAGGUGGAAACACACUAAUCACAAUGCAGAAAGGUGGCCCAACUGAGACUCAAACAUGUACCAAUCUCUGAGCACACCAAAAGGAGACCAUGAAGAGGAUAACUGAACCCAAUUGUGACCAAGGCAGCUCUGAAGGUCCACAGAUGCACCCACGUGUAGGAGUGAAAUCUUAAUUGGAUCUAGGCUAACCUACAAGGUUGAGUUGGCUCUAUAGGGUAAAAUGGGUGGGUCAAAGGAUCCCUAGUAGAAGCGAUUGUACCCUCCGGCGGUACGCAACCCUCUGCACGCCUCCAAGGAGACGGGGUGCUUCCAUGCAAGGUGGUCAUCACCUCCACACAUGCACUUCCUCGCGUUCCCAGGGGGUUUCUUAAUGGUGAAGGCUCUCCCAUCUCUCAACACUCAAGGAUAAUCUAAAGUGCACAAUGAAGGAUGUGGGUGCAUUCGAAAAACCUAAGAUCUAAAGUGAGAUAGUGAAUGAAGAUAAGCAAUCAUACGAACAUGCAAGAGAAAAGGUUGUCAUGCAACAAGCAGCCAUGCGAAGCAGAUAAAUAUCAAACAAUCAAAGUCCUAUCUAGCAUAUGUGAGAGUGAAUCAUGCUAAAGUGAACAAACAGUUAAGUGAUCACAUCAAACAGUCAUGCGAAUCAAAUAAAUAGCAAACAAACAAAGUCAUAUCUAACAUAUGUGAGAGUGAAUCAUGCUAAGUGAGCAAAACAAUCAAGUGAUCAUUCAAGGCAAUCAUACAUGUUAAGAUAACAAACCAAACAAGCAAGCAAAUCGAAUCAUCUUGCCUAAAAAAGGAGGUACCCACUGAUCGACCAAUUAAACGCCACAUUUUCCUCAACUAGUGUUCAAGCUUGAUCCUCAAAAUCCCCAGUGGAGUCGCCAAUUUGUGGACCCGCAUUUUUCACAUGCGUCCCCACUCGAUCGGCGAGACUCGCUUUUUAUUUGUGAAAAAUUAAUUUUUGGAAAAAAGUUGGAGCCGCCACUUAUUUUAUUUUUAUUUUAAAGGGAAAAUAAAACAAGAAAGAAAAACCCUAAAUGUGACUCCAUAAUUUUUGGAAAAAAAAGCAUGUCUUCGAAAAACCCGAGUCUAAGUCCGGGGAUCAGGUUACUUAUUGGGAAGGUACCUUUAAAAGGUAGCACCCCUCUAAGCCCUACAAAGGUCUCUACUGACAACGUUAAGGGAAGUGUGGCCAUUAAUCAGUUAAUUAUAGGUACCUAAGUAGGCUAGGUGAUUUCAAAUAAAAUAGCAUGCCAAACAAGAUCAAAUCACAACAAAAAAAGGUUAGGGUGCGUACCUGGUCUGCCUCUCAAGCGCUAUCACAAAACAUAAGAGUUAGUGUAGAAAUCCAUCACACAACAUAUAUCUUGCCGGGGAAAAAUCUAAUAUAUAUUUAAACACCCAAGAAUCACAUCAUGCAUGGAUAUAGUCACCAAUAGCAUACGUGUCCAUAGAAUUCUCGAAAAAAAGAUGAGAAAGAGCGUACCUGGAUAGCAAGCUAAAGCGUCUUUAUGGGAAGCAAGGUUAGCCCAAUAAUAGAUUCAAAAUAAUCUCAUAUAUACCACAAAGAUAAAGCACAAUUAAUUAAAUAUCAAACAAAAAGUAUUGAAGAAAAUAUCAUGGAUGUCGGGCCCAAAAGCCAUGUAACCAUGCAAGUCAUACAAGUCACGCUGAAAAUGUCCAAAUGGGCCAAGUGUGCCUAAACGGGCCUAUGAUGAAAUUAAGUGGGCCUAGGGUGGUGCCUAAUGGGCCAAGUGUAUCUAAAAACUAUCCUAAAAAAAACAAGAAAAGCCUAAGUCUAAGUUAGGGCUGCCAAGGGUCACAAUAAGGGAUCAAAUAAUCCCUCAACCAAAGUCUCCGAGGUGACUCAGAGAAAGGUAAGUGGUAUGAGUAGCCAUGGGCCAUCAAGGAACUACUGUGGAACACUAAAAAUGAAUUUAAAGACAUGCGAUAAAGGGACAAAAUUGAGGGUCUACACUAAUGCUUCUUCAUACCUAAGGUUUUUUUUUUUCUUUUUUUUUUUUUGCGGUCAUGCGAUGCGUAACAUAUUUGAUUUGAAAAAUACAAUAGUUGACGAUAUUGCUUCCCCACUUGGGGAUCUUUGCUUUUAGAUGGAUUAGGCCAUUUGGUAAGACUAGGAAGUUCUUCUUUGGUAGUCUCGCUAGCGCCUCUUUGUCCACUGAUAGUGUCUGGGUAGCUGCAUCGAGUCAAGCCACCAAGAUCUAGUUCUCCCUUUUGAUUCGAUUAACAGUUCUUCUCAAUUUGUCCAGCUACCUUCGAUACUUUGUUAGCUACGGUUCAUUUGUUCGUUGUGGCCACUCAUAAGUUGUUGGGGUGACAUGCUCACCAUCAACGUAGUUAGCUGCCAAUGUAGUCACCAUGGUUGGCUUUUGUUUCAUUCCCAUAGACGAUGCCAAUUGUUGGUGCACAACCUUUCUAGGUGUGAUGAUUUGGUGACUAUCCGGGUUGCUAGCCAAUCUUCUAUUGUCACCUCCUCUAUUGGUGGGUGUCUUGGUUCUCCAGGAAAAUGAUAUUUUUUUUCCUUGUUCUUCUUCCUCCUUUAUAGGCUAGAGUUAGACGUUGGAGGUUGUGUGGAGUACACGAUUAGCUUGGCAGGUUUGUGUUAGGCAAUGUGUGGCCGACUAUCCCUGACGCUUUCUAUUGAUGUGACAAGAUGAUGUUUUCCUUAGAGAUUUGUUCCUCAUACAUCUCUUGUUGUUGCCUUUGGUAUUCAUGCCACAUGAUCCAUGUUGGCAGCCUAAAAACUUCUUCCCAGUGACCAAUUUUUUAGUUCUUCUAGGAUCAUGUUGGAGUGGGCUCUCGGAUCACUAUAGGUUUAAACAGAGUCGGGAUGACUUCUCGAUCGGGAGACAAUAUUCAGCUGAUACAACAUCCAGGUACCCCUUCUCGGCAAAAUUCAGCACCCUUAGGAGGCAGCUUUUAUAGCGAAAUCUGCCACCCCCGACCCAAGUAAGCAGGUAGACCCACAGGUUGGUUGGCUUCUAUGGUUUGUACCUCCAAUUAUAAUGGAAGUAUAAAUUUUAAAAAGAUUCAGUGAUUGUAGGAUUCAAUUCUAAUGCUCUUAUAGUAGCCAAGGGUCCUCGGACUCAUGGUAGCACACAGACAUGUCCUCUUCUAUCUAUGCAAAUAGUCAUGCAAAAUACAAAUAUUCCCUUAUACAUUCCUAUAGUUUUACAUGUAUAUGAAUUUAAUUAUUUUAUGUUCUGACUAGUGAAGCAACCAUAUUUCCCCAUUUUAACCUCGCUACUGCCAUUGAUGCGGUAGUAGAGUAUAACUGGCACAUAUAGAUAUGUCGAAAGAGCAAUCGAGAGCAGAUAGCUUCAAAUUCUGAAUGUGAAGUUCAGUUGGAGACUGGUUUUAUUAGCCUUUUAGAUAUGAUUUGAACCUCUAUUUUAGACAAGAACCUGGAGCUUCUGAAUAUAUGUAGUACAACUCCUUUGGUCAUGUAUAUAUGUGCAUAUUGCGUUGAGAUAGACAACAUACAAUCACUUGGCAACACGUACAAUAUUAAAACUUUCAGAAUAUCACAAAAUUUGAUUGAUGUCAAAGACUCAUUCUGGACAUUUAGGAUAGGAGGUUACAAUAAAGCCAUUAACUGUACACAUAAGUUCAUUUGCAUGAAUUGGGAACCAAUUUAGAAGGUCAAGUAUAUUCGCUGUCAACAAGAAUGACGCUACUGAGGAGGAACCCAGUUUGAUCAAGAUUCUAGCAUCAAACAACAGAGUCAAAGUCAAAUCAAGAGCAACGUUCCAACUUGUCAUGAAGACCAAGAAUAGUAAUUGCUUUUGAGCAAGCAGUGAAAUUAUUUGCAAUCAGACAAUCAUCUUCUUCUUCAAGAAAUGCUGUAAUGAAAUUCUUACCAGUUGUCUGAUUCUUCAAAACAUGAAGUUAGCAAACAGAUUGUUCAUAUAUAAUGUCAGCUGGCAUAAAUGUAGUGUUCAAUCACCAAGCCACAAAGAUGAUACAACCGAACAGUUGCAGCAGGAAAACUUGGUUGUUUAUUCAAAAUCAAGUAAAUCUCUAGGUCCCUCAUACCACGAUUGCUCCCAAUCUUCAGGUCUUGGCGUAGACAAUUCCUUCCUUGUCUAUGUGGACAGAACAAUGCUUGCUGUUCUAGUUGUUGUCUUUCACCAUGGUCUGUAGAAAAAAUGUCCAGAAAAACAACUAAUGAUCAGUAGAAGUGUAAAAGGGAAGAAAGAAAACUACUGAUAGAUUGGAUCAGUCAUCUUCUUCAUUAGAUCAUUAUAAACAGUUGGCUUUGAAAAAUUUGAAGUUAAUCAACUACAAUCAUGACACAGAUUUAUUUUUCCUAAAAGAAUGUAAAUGUAUGGUUUCUCUUUGAGUACAGCUCUCUACAGCACAAAAAUAAACAAAUACUGUGGUCAAAGCUGUCAAUCAAAAUCCCCCUAUCCAGAAUGCAUGGCAAUGGCUGAUCCAAAUGGCCAUGUACUAGUACACUUACUAAGAUUUCCUUCAAGAAUCAUGUACAAGUGACCACCACUGUUCUCGGUGUCCAGAGGCAGUUUUCCAUACUCAUCUCCUUCUCCAUGAGGCUCAUGUAGUUAUUGGAAGGAUUCAAUAAAUAAUCUCGAAACCCAUGAGCGUUUUUGGCCCAAAGAAAUUCAGCAUAUAACAUAAUUUUUUGUAUAUAUAUAAGUUUAUGAAAUAACCAUGAUUACUAGAUGGGAAAAGUGUGUUUUCAUCCUCUGAUAUGACUAUAUCAGUAAAAUGAGAACCAACUUUUCCUAUUUCAAAUUAAGUCACAUCAAAUUAAGCAGACUCUGAAAAAUACUGAUCUCCAUCUCAUAGUUUGUGAAUGGAUCAUAGACUGAAAAUGAAUUAUAUGUAAUCUACUUAAUUUACCAAAGGUAAUGAAAUCUAAUUUACAAUCAAAUUAAUUAAGAAACUAAGAUACUAAUCACUACCAUACGUACAUAAAUCAUAUAACAUUUCUGUAACAUUACUUUUCUUCAAUAUCAAGAACCGAAAAAAAUUAUAAGGCAAUCAAAUGAAACAAACCAAGAAAACAACAAUAUUAAAAGAGUUAUGAAAUAUCACCAGAUGAUAAUUAUUUUGUCAUAACAUAGUGAACAACAUAAAUUAAAAUCUUGAAAUGUCACCAUAGCCAACCUAGUAGAAAUGAUUCAUCAAAAUAUUUGAAUGUGAGAUCUUAAACUGGUGUUUGACCAAUAAAUAUGGUAAUAAACAUAUAUUAAGUAUAUAUGAAGUGACCAAGCUAAGAUUUGUAUCAUGUUAUUGUAGGGAAUCCCGAAUCUCUUUGUUCCUUAUCCUAUGAUUAGGCUAGGUACAUACGAAUCUUUCUAAGUUUUUCUAAAUCGUAUGAACAAUGGAAAAAUUGUGUUUUAAAAUAAUAAGAAGAAAUAGAAUUUGCAUUAGAAAACAUUACCUUAGAUUUGGAUGUUCCCAAAUCUAAUUCACGUAGUAAAGGAGAAGAUCGAAGAUCUUCCACCAGAUGACUUUUCCUUGAUUUUAGAUCUUAAUUGGUGAGAAGGAAGGAAGACUAAAAAGGAUAUGGUUCUCUCUCUCUCUUUGAAUAGUGAAAGAUGGCUCACUUCAAAAAAGUAAUGAAAACCUUAUCAUUUAAGGGAUAUUUAUAGGGUUCCCUAAUUGGGUAUAAGUGACUUAAGCGUACUAAAGGCUUGAAUCAUUUAAUUUAGCUCAGAAUGAGUCUUAAUUGAUUAAUUAACCUAACAUAGUUAUUUAAUUAAUUAAUUAGCUAAAUUUGGAGACUUUGUUCACUUACCCCUAUGCAACCUUGCAUAAUUACCAAAACACCCUUAUACGCAAAAGUGAACCAAGAGUUGUGUCAUCAAGGUAUAUGAGCUUAGGUGGACACCAUUGAGACCUAUAGGACAGUACUAGCUACCCCAAAAUCUAAUUUUGAAGUUGAUUUAACAUUCCACUAUAGAGAAUCGAUUGCACUAUAAUACCUUAUAUAAAUAACAAUGAGUACUGUUGUGAACAAGUCAUCUACUUACAAUGAAUCCAUUUCUUGAAUUUUUUUUGCAACUCUUAAUGCACUCAAGUCCUAUACAAUAUAAGAUAUGUAUAUCAAAAUGCUUACAAGGUAUAAUGUAUAGGAUUAGGAUAAAUAAAAGUGAACUAAAAGUUUAUUAAUAAAUAAUAAAAUUUUAAAUUUAUUACAUAAUGUCAUUCUUUUAUGAAACCUUUAAAAUAGUGAGAGCGCCCUUUCAUAAUCAUGAAUUAAACUUUAGUUUCAACUUCUAUCAAAGGCUAAAUGAGAAAAGCUAUCAUAGAGGAGGCCUCAGCCAAUGGGUAAGAUGCACUGUUAUACCAAACAAUAAGUGGAAAAUACAAUUUUAUUAAUACUUGAGACAAAAAAAAGAAAUAGAAGGAUGAUUUUACACUCAAACCAAGCAUUUAUUUAUAAUGAAGUGCAGUCUCCAAACGCACAUGUGGACUUAUUGGAAAAUCAUACAAAUUAUUGAAGGACGACCUUAGCUAGGCUAACAGUCUCCUAAAUAGGCCAUCUUUUAUAUAUCUUUGCAUUCAUCCAUCUCCUCAUUGUCUUUGAUUUUAGAUGGUGAGGAUGUGAAAGUAACAGGAAGCAGUGGACGAUUGUUCACAGUGAGGCUUAGCACAUCAGCUCUCGAAUAAUGUCCUACCACAUCGAACUGGAACUUUGCUUUAGGAAUCUCUCCACGAACAUCUACAUAUCAAGUGAUCAUAAAAAUAUUUCAUCAGUCCAUGAUAAAUAUCAUAGAAUAUCAAGUCUUCGAUAAAACUAAGUUUGCAGUCCUCUUAAACCUAAAGAAUCGACUCAUUUGCCUUAUCUGCAUACUGAAAUAUUUGGAUAUAUAAUUGGAGAAGUCAGGGCCAUACCAAGAUCAGCUGUGAAGAGGCCUUCUCCUUCAUAAUUCGGUCCUGCUAGAAUUUCGCCAUGGGGCGAAAUGAUGACACUACCUCCAGCCCAAACAAUAGAAUCUGGAGUGACAUCUUCUUCUGUAGGACUGUAAAGAUACUCAGGUGGAGGUGGGUAAUCUUUCCUCCGACAGAACUGGAUGGGUGAAAGAACAUAGCAUCCACCCUCAAUAGCGACGUGUCUCAUUGUAGCUACCCAUGUAUCCCCGGAAUCGGCAGUAGGAGCACAAUAUAUCUCAAUACCUAUAUAGAUGUACAUUCGUAUUUUGUGAUCAAUCAAUCCCAUAUCAAAGCCAUAAUGUAUUUCAAGCCAAAUCAUAUUAGUUAGUGAAGAAAAAGAAAUGGUAAAAGACAUACCUUUGCCAUACAUUGCUGUCCUGAAAAGUGGCAUUCUAUUUUCCCAACAAAUGACCGAACCAAGUUUUCCAUAUGGAGUGUCAUAAACUGGAGUUGUCGAGCAAUCUCCGAAACCCCAGAACAGCCGCUCCCAAUAUGUUGGCAUGAGUUUCCUAUGUUUUCCAAGGUAAUUACCUUCAGGAUCAAAGAAGAGAACUGUGGAAUACAAUGUGUAUCCAUCUCUCUCAACAACGCCUGUCACUAAGUAGACUUUGUAUUUCGCAGCCAUUGAUGCCAAUCUAUCCGCUUCAGGUCCUGAAAAUACAUUAAUAUGAGAUCAAAGAUGAAACAUGUAAGCUGAUCGUUCAUCACAAAGCAUAAGUAUAAUUUUUUUCUUGGUUCAUUCAUCAAACGUGUCUUGUUUCAAUAACUAAUUAAGUGGUUCAGUUCUUUAGCUAUUUAAGGGAGAAAGAGAGAGAUAACUGACCCGGCACAUUAAUGGCAGAAGCAUGGUACUUGCGGAAACUUUCUUUCCCUCUUGGCGACUGGUCGGCAAAGUUGUAUCCCCGGGGAUACCCACCGAUAAAUGCUUCAGGAAACACAACCAGUUGGGAUCCUAGUGCAGCUGCUUCUUUCAAAAACCUCUCAGCCUUAUCUGCUCUCAAAAUCACAUUGCAAGAAUUAAUAAUCCACGACUUAGAAAGUAAAUGAAUUGGUUGAAUGGAGAGAAUGAAAAUUAACUUCAAGGGAUCCCGAAUGACUUUUUGGUUGCUGAGAAAACUCAAGGAAAAAGAGACCUAGAUGAAACUUGAAACUCUCAUAUUUUCAGCUGUUUUGUAACUAAGAAAAGAGAAACCACCUCAACCCAACUCAUUAAAAUAAUUGUAAAAGCAGUAAUUCCUUGAUUGGCAGCUGAAAAUAUGAUCAGGGUUCAAUCAUCCUUUUCUUUUUUUCAGUCUCUGACCAACCAAUUAGAUCACAUAUUCCAUUACACAAGUUGCACAAUUGAAAGAAAUGGUACGUUACCUAGAGUGGCAGGAGUAUCAUAAAAGAUACUAGAAGCUUGAACAACGGUGGCUCUAACAGUUGAAGACAUUGCAGAAAUCGUAUGCUUUUUCGUUUCCCUUUUGUUUGAGGAUUCCUUACACAACGUUCAGUAUAUAUAUUGCCCAUGAACAUGAGGUUCUUCUGCCAUUACUUGAACGAGACGAAGAGGCUGUGAAAAGUCUGCCUUGGUUUUCUAUAUUUAUUGUGAGCUUUUCUCCUCAUCACAAAUUUUGAAGUUAUCCGCAGACAUUGUGGACCAGCGACAUGACUUGUACAAAUUGAAAAUGACUGUGAUCUGUGAAAAGUAAUUUAAGAUAAAAUUCAAUUCAUGGUUUGAUAGUUUUAGACAAACAAAACACAAAGGUGAACACAUACCCAAAUUAUUAGGCUUUUAUUUUCAUUUCUUUUAUAUGUAUAUAUAUAAUGUAUAAGUUGCUAUGAUUAUUUGAAUUAAAGAAGGGACCCGCCCACGUGCAUAGUGGUGGCUGAGGCCUUUUGUGACCUCAAAAUAAAAGAAAAAAAGAAUAGUCAUUAAAAGCACAAGAUAGUCAUUAAAAGUACAUAGUGUUAUAGUUUUAGACGCCCAAAAGAAGUCUUUUUGUGCCUUGUAAGAAUCAAAAUAAGUUUUAUCGCUUUCUUUUUUUUCUACAGGUACGAUGAUUAUCUUUGAACGAAAAGAGGGAGCCGCCCACAUGCAUGGAUUCCAUCCAUCUAGCACACAGAUAAAUUGUCAUUUGUGGCUUGAGGCUUUCUAUGACUUGUACUAUAUAUCUAUAAAACCCAGCAUAUAGCUAACAACUGGGUCCGACCUCAUGUAUUGGUCCCUACCAAAAAUUAAUGAGUGAUUCAAUGGCAGCUAUGGUAGAAAAAUAAAAAGGGAGAACUAUGCUUACCCUCACGUUGAUUCAAGCAAAUAUAUUUUUUAGGAAUUCUAAUUUUCAUAUUUCACCCAAAACGCAUAAUCAAUAAAUUUAUCCUUCAAAUAUGUAUUUUAAUAACAACCAAAAUGAGAAUUCUAUAGUUAUCCCUUAUAAAAUCUUUAAUAUGACAAGUCAUCAUUUGAUCUGUUUGAUAUCCUCUCCAUAUCAUGUAUUUGAUAUCCUAACUUUGACAUUUUUUUAUUUAUAUACGCUGAAGUGAAUACACUUUCAUAUUUCUUUUCGUUCUUUUAAUAUUUUCAUAUUUAUUAACUUAGUCAUUUUUUUGAAACAUUAACAUAAAAUUAUAAUAUAUGAUCAAUAACUAAUGAGAACAAAUUAAACAUAAAUAUAAGUAUGAAAUGGACAGAAAAUAAAAAUUUUAUCCUACAAACAAUACACUAAAUAGUUUAAAAUAUUAAUUAUAAUAAUAUAUUUGAUACUUUAGGGUUUAGAUUAAAAAAUUAUGUUUUACUUUUUAGAGGCUAGGAUAUAGGAUUUCCAUUAACCAAAGAUUUUUUGUAUGAAUCCUAAAUAAAAUGUGCAUUUAUUUUGCAAAUUCUUAUCAUAUAUAAUUAAAAUAAAAUAAAUAUAUUUUUAUCAUAUUAUUUUUAAUUUUUAUUAUUUUGUGUCAAAAUCAUAGUCAAUGAUGGUGGUUUUUGUUAUGAUAUAGCUCUUAAAAGGAUGUUAUGAUGUAAUAAAUAUGAAGUUUAUUAUUUAUUUAAUGGUAUUUUGAUUUCACUUUUAUUAAUCUUUAUUUCAUGCAUUUUACCUUAUGAGUAUUCUAGCCUGACAUUUCUUGCACUAUACAUAACUUGGGUGCAUUAAAAAUUGCAAGAAAGAUCCAAGUUAUAGGUUCCUUGCAAGUAAAUGAUUUGUUCACAACUGCUUUGUGAACUUAAGUGAUCCAUUUGAUGUCAUAGUUCACUACCUCUUCAUUAGAGGAAUGAUUGAUCUUGACUAUCGAGAUAGAGUUCUCAUGGUGAGUACACUAGUAUGAUGAGUUAUGAUGUAAAGUUGUUGGAUAGUCAUAACUUCACUAAGUUGUUAUAUUGUAUUGUUUUCUCAACCUUGAGAGAAUAUUGAACUUGUGCCAAAGUUUGUAAUUAUUUGACCUAUGGGUGAGAUCCUAAAGUGAUAAUAUAUUCCUUACGAAUUGGGUCACAGUAGAUAGAAGUCGGUAGUAAUAAGUAUUCUCAAUAGAGACAUCAUGAAAUCUCAUGGAAUUUGAGAUAGUGUUGGGUGAUAAUAAGGACAUGUAAUCAUGAAAUCUAUGGUUGUAUUAAUUCUUUAAAUGAAAUUUGAUAUAUGCUUUUGUGAGUUAGAGUAUGUUAGUUGAUCAUAUAAUAAGAGAAUAUAUAACUCAAGGAUGGUAAGGUAAUAUUGAAAGGCAAAUAACUUUCACCUUAUUAGAUUAUAAACACCAAUUCAUGGGGAGACUAUAUGCAAUAGAUAGCAGGUCAUGAAGUUAAGCAUUUUGUGUCUUUUUGUAAUACACAUAGGGCAUUGAAAUGUAAUUGACUUUCUAUAGUAAGAUGUUGAGCCAACUUUAAAAUUGGAUUAUAAAGGAGCCAAUACUAUCUUAUGGGUCUUAGCGGUCCUCGCUCAAGUUUAUAUAUCUCAAUGACAUGGUUUGUGAGGGUUGGAUUGACUCAUGAUUCACUUAUGUGCAAAAAGGCGUUUUGGCAAGUAUGCAUGAAUGCAUAAGAGUUUGUUGGGAUAAAACCUUAUAAAUCAUGAGAUGAUGUAAUAGAUUUAGUUUCAUUAAUAAAUUUAUUUAUUUACUAUUCUAGUUCCCUCAUAUUAUCCCAUUGUCAUUAAUUGGUUAUCGGAGUAUUUACACCCAUAUCACUUGCAUUGUACAUGACUUAGGUGUAUUAGGAGUUGAACAAAAAAUCCAAGUCAUGGGUUUUUUGCAAGGUGAUAAGUAGUUUAUAGUGGGUUCAUGGAUUUGAGCAAUUUAGUAGAGACUAUAGUAUACUACCUCCUAAUUGGAAAGAUAAAUUGUCUUAGUCACCGAGAUGACUUUCCCAUGAUGAGUGAAACAAUGUGUAUGGUUACACAUUGGACAUGACCUAUGGUGAAUUAUGACAUUAAUUUUUGGGUAGUCAUGAUUUACCAUGAUACUAUAUUAUAUAAACUCUCAACCUUGAGAAGAUAUUGAGUUUGUGCUGAAAUCAAUAGGAAACUUCGAUCUAUGGGUGAGAUCCUAGUGUGGUCAUAUAUUCCUUAUAAAUUGGGUCACGGUUGAUGAAGAUUGGUGGCAACAAGUGUUCUUAAUAGAGAUACCAUAAUAUCUUAUGAGAUUAAGAGAACGUGUCUCUUGGGUGAUCCUAAAGACAUGUGAUUAAGAUGACUACGACCAUAACAAUUCCUUUAGUAGAAUUUGACAUAUGCUCUUUGUAAGCUAGAAUAUGUCAAUUGAUCACUUAACAGGAGGAUUUGUAACUCAAGGAUUGGAGAGAUAAUUUUGAAAGGUUGGGAUCAUUACCUUGUUAGAUUACAAACACUAGUUCAUGGGGAGUUUACAUGCAGUGGAUAGUAGGUCAUAGACCUAAACUUUGCCUUGUUGUAAUUAUAUAGCAUAUUAGAGUGUAGUUGACUCUCUUUAGUAGGGUGUUAAGUUAACCUUAGAAUUGGAUUCAAAGUGAGAUAGUAUUUUCCUAUAGGUUCCAAUGGUCCCUACUCAAUUUGGUGUCACAUUUGUUUGAGGGAUUUUAGGUUUGUAGUUAACAAGUGUGCAUAAGGGGGAAUUUAAUAAAAAUACAAGGUUGGACUAGAUCUUGUGAAUAGACUUUCUAGAUUGGCAUAAUUUAUUAAUUGGAUUCUAAUAGGGCUAAUUAAUUAAUUAGGACCUAAGUGAGCUAAAUUAGGUAACCUAAGCCCAAUUUGGGCUCAAGUCACUAAAGUUCACAAGGAAGCUUAUAAAUAAUUAUUUAAAGCCCAUUGGGUUUUAUGAGUGACUUAAGCUUGCCUUGGGUUUGGGUAACUUAUUAUAGCCUAAAAAGGUUCUUAAUUGAGGGCUUAGAUUAAUCAAUUAGCUUAGUCCAAAAGUAACAUUCACCAAAUUUAUUGGAAACUUUGAAUUACUCCAUUUCAUGAUCCAGGAUCAUAUAGGGUGCAUGCAACUAUCCUUAGGCUUCUCUAGAUCUAAUGCAAUGGAAAAUAUGGAUAUAAAAUCCAUAAAAUGUACUAGAUUUAUAGAUUAGAACUCAUACCUAUGAUUUGAAUGUUUCUAAAUUAAAUCUAAUCCCUAAAAAACAUCAAAGAUGUUUUAAAAGUCAUUUAUUUCCACCCAAUCUCUCCUUUCACAAAUAGACCCUAGCAUAAAAGAAGGGUAGGCUUUUGUCUAUCUUUUUUGAAGGUAGCUAGGGUUUUCUCAUUCUUUUAUGGCAUCAAACUCUUAGACUUUUACUUUUUCCAUUCUCUCCCACAUGUCUAGAGAGAAUCUAGUCCCCACUCUUCUAGAUAUCUAACAUUGGAGUUCGUAGCUUCAAUGAGGAGCCAUCAAAUAGAAAACCAAUAGGUUUGUGAGAUUUUCGAUGACCCCUACACAUUUAAUAACCUCCUUGACUGCAAAAAUUUGAUUUGGGAACAUCUAGAUCUUGGUAAAUACUUCUAAUCUAUAGAUCUAGAUCUAAUUUCUAUUUUAAAGGUGAUUUUUCUUUCAUUGCUAGGGUCUAGAUAAGCCUAGGAAAGUCUGCAUGCACUUAACGAGAUCUAGGGAUAGGGAACUUAGUGAUUUAUGCUUUCUUGUAGUUGGAGCUUUUUGCUUUUGAUUUUAACUUGAGUGUACUUUUGGCAUUUUCUUGCUUAAGCUUUUAAUUUUUUUGAAUGAUGUACAAUGCAUUUAUUUUUUUAGAGGAAUGUAUUUAUUUUUCUUAAUGAUGUACUUCCUUUUUUGAAGGAUAUACUUAAUUUUAUAACAAAUGUAUUUAAUUUUUCUAAAGAAUGCACUUAUUUUUCUAAGGGAUCUAGUUGUAUGGCAUAAGAUGUCCUCUCAAGCAGAGGUGGAGGUACUAUAGAUUUUGUAAUAGGCACAAUGAUUACUAAGGUGGUAUGUGAUGGAGGGAUUGGCAUAAAAGCCUGAAGUAAGGGUGUGUCUAAUAAUAUAAAUGGCUCGAGUAAGUAAAGAGCAAAUGGUGUGGAAAUUCAAGUAGGGAAGAAAGGGUUGGUAUGGAUUCAUCGGGGGAAGGAAAUGUAGGUUCCAUGAUACAGAUGCCUGAAGUAAGGGAAGAGUAGAUAAUGUGUAAGCCCUAAGUGGGGGUUGUUGAUGCCAGGUUAACUAAGGAUGGAAUCCCUUGGUUGUGGUAGCAAAAAGGUUCUGUCCAAAAGUCGGAGACUAGGCUUUCGCCUUCCCUGCACAAAGAUGUCCUGACACACUCUCCAAAACCUAAGUCAGACUUUGAAGUGGGUAGGAACCCUUAGAGAGAGAGAGAGAAGAUGAGAAAGUCCUUAGUAUUGCGUACUUGGGUUCUGGUUCCAGGAGGGUUUUUAUAGUGUCUAGGAUGGAGUCACUAUUGUGUUGAGUUAACAUCUUGACUUUUGCCGUCAGAUGGCAUCACAGUGGAUGGUAGGGUAAUCAUCACCAUUUAGGCGGCUGGCAGGGGUUUCUAGUGGGUACGUUAUGAUGGUUUACCUGUCACCUCAACCUAUUGGAGGUAUGGGGCAGUGUGUGAUAGUCGUUUGAUAUGAACGUGGAGACAAGGUAAGAUCCCAUCACCCAUACUUUUGUUAGAAAAAAAUGAUUUCCUGCAGCAAGGAAAUAGAGCAACCAGCCGGAAUGCACUGACAAUUUAAGGGAGCCUAGUAUUGCCGAUUGCUGGCAUGUAUAGUCCAGACUAGGACCUUCGAGUUUGAUGAUGAUCGUCCGAACAACAUUGAGAUGAGCGCCAUGUGGGCCAGUAGUGGUCUACCACGUGGGGGAAGAUCUCCACAGGGGUGACAAGGUUGGAAUGAAGGUAUUAUGGAAGAUGAAAUAUAAGUCUAUGACAGCUUUGAUUUGGUCUGGACUUCUAUUCCCUUUUGUGUGACCAUGAAUCCCAGGAAUUUGCCUGCGCUGACCUCAAAGGCACAUUUGGCCGGGAUCAACUUCCUAUUGUAAUUUCUCAUUAAGCGAAAGGUCUCUUCUAAAUGUUGGGCAUGUUUUGACCUGGUUUUGCUUUUUACCACAAUGUCAUCAAUGUAUACUUCCACUAUGUGGCCGACUAGUGGCUUAAAGAUCUUCUUCAUCAGCCUUUGGUAGGUGGCUCCCGCGUUCUUGAGCCCAAACGACAUGACUUUAUAGUAGUACAAUUCGUGAGGCAUUACAAAGGCGGGUUUUUUUUUCAUCCGACUAGAACAUCGAAAUCUGAUGAUAGCCAAAGAAAGCAUCUAUGAAAGAAAACAUCGUGUGUCCAGCAGUAGACUCGAAUAUCUGAUCUAUCCGGGGUAACGAAAAACUAUCUUUUGGACAUGCGUCAUUCAGGUUGGUAUAAUCAACACAAACUCGUCAUUUACCUCCAUUUUUUUGGGACCACCAUCACGUUUUCCAGCCAUUCCAGAUACUCUACUUCCCUUAUAAACCCAUCCGUGACCAACUUCUCUAUUUUACGUUGGAUAAUCUUCUGUCUAUCCGGAUGGAAGCAUCGGACUUUCUGUCGAACACGUCACGAGGAAGGCAUAACAUUGAGCUUGUGAGAGGCUACCGAUGGAUGGAUUCCGGGCAUAUCAGAAUAAGUCCAUGCAAAAACUUCUUUAUUCUGUUGAAACACUCCUUGGACUGCUUUAAGCUCUUUAAGUGCUGGUAAGGAGCUGACAUAGGUAACACGGUAGUUAUCCUGAGAGAGAACCAACGGUAGGAGUGGGUCAGCCGCCGACGGAUCUCUUUCUGUCGGGCUCUGUAAUUGCUAUUGUUCCUCCGUGUCAGUUCGUUUCGUAAGUGGCUUAAAAACACUUAUGGAUCCGGAUUCUUGCGCCACUUGAUGACAUUGUCGUGCUGCUAGCUGGCUUCCAAAGAGGUUGAUCGGUGCCUUCUCGAUUAAAUAGCUCACCAUUUGGUGAUACAUAGAGGGGAUGACCUUCAUACUGUGCAGCCAUGUGCGCCCCAUGAUGGCAUUGAAAAUGGACAAGUCUUCCACUACUAAGAAUUGCACAUUCUAGACCAUUGACUCGACUUGGACGAGUAGCACAAUGUCUCCUAGAGAAAUUGUUGAGGCCCCAUUGAAACCUGAUAGUACAUGUCCGGGAUUCUCUAAGGUGGAUGAAGAGAAUCCCAUCUGUUUGAACGCGAACAUCUAUAACAGGUCAUCCGAAUUGCCCGGAUCAACUAAAAUCCAUCUUACGUCAAAAUCAUUGAUCCCCAACAUCAGGAUGAGGGCAUCUUCAUACGAUUGUAACACUCGGUUGGGGUCCAUUGGAGGGAAGGUGAUUACCCCAUUUAUUAGGCACGUGUCCUCAUCGGGCAAGCCAGGUUGGAUGGAGCUAACCUGCUUUCUUACAGAGGCUGGUUGAAGUAAUCUUUGCCUCUUCUGUUUAGAGUUGUAUUUUUCAUCAAUGGAUACCCAAUGAAUGUAGUUGAUUAUGGCUCUAGGAGUUGCUGAAGUUGUGAGGGUCGUGGUGGCUGGACUUCAGGUUCCAUCCCCACGUCUCCCAUUUGAGUGGACGUACUAUUUCAGAUGGCCAACUCUUAUUAAUUUUUCCAGUAAGUAGUCGAGGCUUCUGCAUUGUUAUGUGGUGUGACCAUGGUCUUUAUGGUAAGCGCAAUUUCUAUUCUGAUCCCAUUUCACCGGAUCUGUCUUAAUUGGCUCGGGCCAUUUGAAAUUGGACAAAUCCUUGAUCAUGGGGAGGAGUUUGUUGUAUGAGAUAUUGAGGGGAGUGAGACUAGCUUGGGUUGCCUGUUGUCCAUCCUACCACUUACCAGUUUGUAUGCAUUGUUUGCAGGCUUAGAGCUCUCGACUGAGUUGUUCCUAGCAUUUUGAUUGGUGACCAGGACCUAUUGGGUAGCUGUGUGGACAUCGUUUCAAGCAUGGAGUACUUGUUUGCUCGUUUGAACAAAUCGUCCAUCGUUGCUGGAGGUUUUUUGGCAACAGAUUCAAAAAAGGGUGUACCCGGGCAGAUGCUUCUUUUGAAAAUUUGAAGGACGAUGUCUAUGCUACAAGGUUCUACUUGAAGCACAACAUGUCCGAACCUCUUUACAAACUCUCUCAAUAACUCAUUCUCCUGCAUCUUUAUGAUUUGCAAAGUACUGAUGUUCUGCUUAUGCCGUGCUAAGCACAGAUACUGUCCCACAAAGGCCUCCAACAAAUUCUGAAAAUUAUUCACGGAAUUCAUCAGAAGGCGAUGGAACCAUGAAAGAGACUAGCCAUGGAGGUUAGCUUGGAAGACCUUGCACAACAACGCAUCAUUCCCUAUGUCAAGGGUCAUGAGUUGCCUAUAAUGCAUGAUGUGGUCAAAUGGAUCGUUGGUUCCAUCGUAGGUAGAGAAUUUU
rnacentral:lncRNA from 1 species